rnacentral:lncRNA from 1 species
GUUUCCGGAGUGGGUAGGAGAGUCCUCUUUCUCCAAUAUAGUGUCCUUGAAGCUCAUUAGAUGUACAAACUGCACCUCCUUACCACCGCUCGGGCAAUUAGCUUCUUUAGAGCGUCUCUCCAUUGAAGGAUUCGAUAAAGUUGAGACUGUGGGCUCUGAGUUCUAUGGGAAUUGUACAGCUAUGAAGAAGCCAUUUGAAUCCCUCAAAACAUUAUCUUUUAAAAGCAUGCCAGAGUGGCGCGAGUGGAUUUCAGACGAAGGCAGCCAGGAAGCCUUCCCUCUUCUAGAGUCGCUUUCAAUCGAAGAAUGCCCGAACCUUGCAAAGGCCCUUCCUAGGUUUCCCAGGUUGCUCUCUCUCGAUGUUUCUGGAUGCCACUCCCUAGAGUCCCUACCCGAGGAAAUUGAUCAAAUGGGUUGUUCACCCUCUGAUUUAGGGCGAAUUGAAAUCAAGGGCUGUGCUUCUCUCAAAUGCGUCGCACUGGACUUGCUCCCCAAGUUAAAAUCUCUUUCUAUCUCUGACUGUCGAGAUCUCGAAUCAUUAUGUGCACAUGAAAGACCUCUCAAUGAUCUCACCUCUCUCCAUUCUUUGAAAAUCUGGGGGUGCCCUAAAUUAGUUAUCUGCUCCAGUCUUGACACAACUUCAUUUAGUAAACUGCAGCAACCUGAAGCUGUUACCUGAGAGAAUGCAUUCCCUCCUCCCAUCCCUUAACCUUUUGGUAAUAUAUAGUUGUUCAGAAGUUGAGUUGUGUCCAGAAGGGGAUUUUCCCUCCACAUUACAAUCACUUGAGAUUACGAAUUGCAACAAACUCAUUGCAGGCCGCAUGCUUCUGCCCUCAAGUCUUAAAUCUCUUAACAUCUCUUACCUAAAAUCUCUUCCAAGGCUUCAACACCUCACCUCCCUUACACAAUUGACAAUAAGUAACUGCCCUCUGAUUGAGUCAAUGCCAGAAGAAGGGUUGCCCUCCUCCCUUUAUUAUCUUCAAAUUCUGGGUUGUCCUAUGCUGAGUGAAAGUUGUGAAAGGGAGAAAGGUAAAGAUUGGCCCAAGAUUUCUCACAUUCCUCGCAUACAUAUUUAACCCAUAAUCAGCGGAGCAAAGAUGUAGCAGUUAAAAGGAGGUUUUCUUUCAAUCGUCCAACAUAUUGAGGUAUUGCUACUAAAUAGUUUAUUUUCUUUUCAGUAAUCCAAAGCAAUUUCAAUUAAAAUUUGGAUGAAUGAAAUACGGAUAUUGUCCAUUUUGUAUUGUUUUUAUUUGUUGGAUGUAGAAAUACAGAUAUUUUCUUCCUAUUGUCUCUCAUUCAUCUCCAUAAAUAAUAAUCAUCAUUCUAUUUCAAUAUAUCAAGCUGGAGGAUCAUCACAUGCUUCAGAUUUUGAACUGCCAGCACCACCCUUAAUUUGGACAGGAGGCUAUUGUCAUUGAAUUUUAGCAACGGAAUAUUUCUUUUGCUAAUUUAACAACAAAAUGUGUAUAUAUGAUUUUUUUUAAUAUUAACAAUGACAUUAGUGAUAGAAAAUCCAAGCUAAAAAGGAUUUAAAAAAUAUUAAAUUAUUUAAGUAAUUUGCAACGGAUUUUUCAUUGUUGACGUGCUUGGCAACAUCAAAUCUGCAACUGAUUCCAAAAAUAAAUCAAACCCUUAAUUAUAUAAAAUCCCCAUCCUUUCUCCUUUUCUCUUUUCCCGCAUCUUCAAAAAUUAAAAAAAAUAAAAAAUUCUCCAUCUCUUUCUCUAGUCUCUUCCCUUCUCCAAAAAUUCAAAAUUCAAAAACUUUUUUUUAUCUUUUAUUUAUUAUUUAACUUUGAUUAAAUUGUUUUUAUUCCAUAUAAAGCAGAAGUUAAAAAAUGAUUUUGGAGUACAUGUAAGUCAUAUCUUUUUUGGAGUUUACUGUUGUUCAGGACAAAUAAUUAGUCAUUUUCAUAUCAUCCGCCAUUUCCGCUCUUUAGUUAACUUGCAUACAUACAGAGAGAUCAUUUUGGUAAAAUUAUUAAGAAGCAAAGCAAAUUCCUUCAUCAGAUAUGGGAUUUCAAAGGAAAAAUAGGGAUUUAAAUCUUUACGGACCAUUCGUAAACCAUUGAUCUGAGAGAGGGAUAUUUGGGUUUCGUGCUUGUUUCAUAAAUAAAUAAAUAAAUAAAAUUUUCUCAUGAGGAGAUUUCAGAUAUAAUAAAUUAUGUUCGUUUGGAUCUACGAAGGAAAGAGGAAGAAGAAGUGGAAUGGCUAAUGGCUAAGUUCUUAAAUUGGAUGACCGGCUUAGCAAUUAAAGGGUUACUGGCUACUAAAAAAAAUGAUAUGAAUUAUUAACAACAAACAAUUAAAUAAAAAAGAAGCUGAUAACUGAAAAAUCAGCAACGAAAAUCCAAUGUGAAGCUAAAACCUAAGCUAUUAGAAUAGUCAAGUUAACUGUUUAAACUUACAAUUGUGUUAGUGGAAGUUGGAUAACUCGUUAAAAAAAUAUUAUAUUAAAAUAAAAAAUUUUAAAAAAUAUUGAUUAAAAUAUGAAGUGAAAAGAAAGAUUGGUAUAUAAUAAAAAUUAUUCCAAUCAAACCCACUUUUUCGACCAUGGGAUCUCUUGGCAAAUAAAGCAAGUAAAAUUAGUAAAAUGUGGGACCUAGCUCCAAUUUCCUAGCACUCAUAAUCGUAAUUUUAAAACUCAGCAUAGCGGGUUGACCUGGAACAUGGUUGAUUUGGGGCUGAAACCUAAUCGAAUUGAAAAAAAAAUCCGAUAUGACUCGAUUGAACCAGCGAGUUGAUCCGACCGCAAGCCCAUACUUUAUCAAUGAAAUAAAAGUGAUAAAAGAAAAGGAGAGAAGAAAUAAAGUGAAGUCUUCUUCUGCAUUAUUAGCACAUCACGUGAAAAGAAAGAUACAAACAAAGUUACUCCAUUUUCCUCUCACUUUUUCAACCGAUGGGGCUUCUUGGCAAAUAAAGCAAGGACAGACCGAGUUGAUGCGCUACCUAACUCCUUUUUCCUGGCCCGCGCAAUUCACGCAUACACAAACACAUCAAAAUUUACUUUAAUUUAGAAAAGAUUUUAAAAUUUUAUUUUUUAAUUUAAUAAUAACAAAGUUUUAUAUUAAAUUGGUUCACCUAAUUUAACCUGUUAUUUAUAAUUCAGGUUAUGAAAUUAUAAUACCUAAUUCCCAAAUAACCAAAUAUGAUUAAGUUUUUCCAAUCAAACCCCUCUUUUUUUAAGAUGUAAAGUCUAGCAAAAUAAAUCAAAGACAAACAGAGUAAAAUUUCAAAAAAAAAGAGAAAGAUGGAAUAUCCCACCAAUAUUUAACCCACUUAAAUUGAGUCCAAAUCAUAAGAGCAUCUACAAAGGAUUGUUAAAUGAAAAGUUAAAAGUUAAAAAAAUAUAUAUUAUUUUGACUCUUUCAUGUUUAUUUUAUACACUUCAAAAAAAUAUUAAAUAACAUAUCAAAAUAUCUUUUCUUUCUUAUAAAUACUAUUUCUACAUAUCUAUAAAAAAAACCAAUACUAAAAAAGUAGGGUCAUCAAAAAAUAAACCAAUUAAAUAUAGUCAUAUGAAAAAAAAAACAUCAAACUCAUUAAAAAAAAUAAAACACUUUUUUCUCUCACUCUAGUACAAUUAGCUUUUCAAAUAGUUUUUUUCAUUAAAAUAUAUAUAAUAAAAAAAUUAUAUUUAUAUUAUUCAAAAUACUAUUUUAUCAAUUUAGCUAUUCAAAACAUUGUUAUUAAACCCGACCCGGCCAGGUAGAUCGACCGAGUGACUAGACCUGUCCGGGCUUGUCAAAAAACUGGUCAGUGCAAUAACCUGGCAAAACUCAAUUGACCUGACGAGUUGACCCAUGACCCGGGGGAACUUGGACGAGCCCUUUUUUUGUUUUUUAAAUGUGGUUUUUCUCCUAUCCCUUUUUUUUAUAUAUUUUUUAGUUGGUUAUUAAUAUUUUUUAAAAUUUACUAUAUAAAUAUUAGAAAAGUAUUUUAUUUUUUCAAUGUAAAAUUUGAAAUCCUUUAGUAUAUAUACUAUAUUUUGCCAAGAAAAAAAUUUAUUUUUUCAAUGUGAGAUUUGAAACCUUUUGUAGAUAUAUUUUAUGUUCACAAGGAAAAAAUUAUGUUUUUUCAAAAUAAAAUUUGAAACCCUUCAGUAUAUAUACUCUAUAUUCCCAAGAAAAAAGUUAUUUUUUCAAAAUGAGAUUUGAAACCCUUUAAUAUAUAUAAUAUGUGUUUUCAGAUCAUUUAGAUGUGUUGGUAUCAAAAAUAAUUUUUUAAGAAUAAAAAAAUAUUAUGCAACCAACUUGGGUUAACCCAUUAAGCAUUAUUCUCGUAUCAUGGUUCAGAAUAACCUAAUAGAAAAUAAAUAAAACAAAUCAUGAAGUGUGAACCCCGAUUGAAAAUUAGGCAGAAAAGUAAUCUAAAUGUUUAUACAAUAGAUUUAACAGAAGUACCAAAUAAGCAUUAGAACAAACCAAAUACAAGCAAAAGAAAAUAUAUAAGUAAAUGUGAAUAACAUAAUGUUGGAAGUGAGUUACCUAAAAAUAAAAUUAUCAAUAUGUAACUAAAUAAAAUUCAAAUUCACCCCGGUAAAUUUUUUAUAUAGACAAAUGCCAGGUUCAGAAAUUUUUUCCCGAGAACAUGAAAUUUACUAUUUGGAUAAUAGAGGGAAUUUGGUAAAAUUUAAGAGUGGGCGCGCGCUCGGGUGAGAAGAAAAAUGGAGAAAAAAAGAAAGAUGAGAAACUACCAUUUACAUGUGAGAGAGAUAGAAUUGUAAUGAAAACAUAAAAUUUUAAGGGAAGAUCUUGAGGGAACAUUAACCAAGCUUAGUGAGCAUUAAUUGGAAGAAAUAAAAAUCAUGUGAAGGUGAGUAUAAAUGGAGAGAGGAAGUUCCACCAAGUUAAAGAAGAGGAGGAGUUGAAAGUUUCAUUUGGGAAGUGUUUAGAGUUUAAUUGAAUUUUAAUGGCUUAAAGUUCUUAAUUGAUUGAAUUCUUGAAAUUAAAAAGUUAGGGUUCUUCAAUAAAUUUGGGGGAAAUAAAAAUUAAUUGUAAUUUGUCAUGGAAAAUAGUGUGAAAAUUAGAGUAAAGUAAUUAAGUUAUUGUAAUUGAAGUAAAGUAUUUGAUAAUUAAAUAGAGUUAGUGGCCGGCCAAAUGAUGAGAGAUUUUAGGGGAUUUAAUUGUGAAUAAAUGUUGUGAAUUGAUGAAUAAUAUAGUAAGUAGAACUAUUUUUUAAAUAUCUCUUUACAACUUUUUAAAUUUCAUGGAACACUUGUGUUGAUUCUUGAGAUUGUGUGAAAUAUUACUACCAUAAAAAUAAAAAAAGAAUUGAUGUCUAGAUGAGGAAUAUCAUUGAAUUGUUGGUCCCUAUUAGAUUUUGGUAUGUAAUGGAGUCAUGAGACGUUAAAAAUUCUUGAGAGAUGUUAAAUUAGUGGCUAAAAUUCAUAGAAUGGUCUAUUUUUUAGAAAUAUAUUUUACUAUGAAAUUUAUUUGAUAAAAGAAAAGUAGGAAAUUUAUGGUAUAUUUCCUUGACAAUGAGUACCCGAUUAAACAAUAUGUAUAUUCAAUUAAAACUUAUAGUAUAUUUCCUUGACAGCGAAAUAAAAAAAAGUAGGAACCCUGUAAUAUCUAGGUAAUUUCUAUGCCCUUUUAAUGAGUCCUACAAACCGAGGCUGUAAUGAGCCCAUGACAGAAGGAGAUAGGAAAGUGUAAUUUCAGAAGACCAUCACACAAAUCAACGGCUGAAAUCCAAUCACUCAAGGGAUGGUGACACGUCGCAUGAGUAGAGACAGCUAGUCUUUAGUACGAAAAGAAAAAGAUAAAUUAUUUUUACUCUUGAUUUGUUUGAUUUAAAUAAUAUUGAAUUAAAAUUAUAAUUAAAAAUAUUUAGCUAAAAUUAUGAUUAGAAUUGAACUACCACAAAAGAUACUGGUGAAGGUGGAGAGGAUGUGAGAGGCGAUUGGGAUCCAAAACAUCAACUGUUGUGGUCAAUUCUGGAGGACUAAACACUUCAGGCUCCUUUCCCGUCCUUUUCCUCGCUGGAUCCUUGAUAUCUUCUUCAAGGUGUGCAGGCGCCUUGUUCGAGGAUUGAGCAUAGAAAGACUAAAAAUAGUUAAAUAAAUACGAAAAGACAUAAGGUGAAGUUUUUAUAAUAUUCAUAGCAAUAGCCAUCACCUCAUUUAUAAUUUACUAGUUACAUGCCCCACGCGAUGUCGCGAGUCAAUUAUUUUUUGUAUUUUAAAAAUAGUCAAGAUCUAAAAGUGUUAGGUUUUUUUAUAAAGUUAUACCCAAAAGUCUCAGUUUUGGUUGCUUCGCCUGAUCCAAGAGUAAUGUUUAUAAUAUUAAUAAUAACAUUAAACUUGGGUUAACCCUUAGCAUAAAAGUGUCUGGACUACAAUAUCAGAUCCAAUAACAUUGGACGUGGGUCUGGCUGCAAGGUCGUGUCAUAAAAGUGUGAUAAUUAAAUAGAUUAAUUAAAAAAAACCAACAGGAAGAAAAAAACUAAUAAAAAAAAAGAAAAAAAAUGAAUUAAUUGGGUUAACCCUUCAAACCAGGUUAACCCGUCAUACCUUGAAUUCGCAUCAUGAAAGUUUGAUAAUUAAAAAAAAAAAAUUAAUGGGUUAACCCAGAAUUAACUGGGCUAACUCGUCAAAUCAGGUUAACCUAUCAAACCCGGAAUCCGUGUAAUGAAAGUUUGAUAACUAAAUAGAAAAAAAUUAACAUUAAUAAUUUAAAUUAAAUGAAAAAAAUUAAUUAAAAAAAAAACAAAAAGCAUCAGCCUUUUCACUGUGGACUGCACUAUGCAGUCCACAGUCAAAGGCAUAAAAAAUAAAGGCAUCAGCCAAAAACUACUUAGAAAAAAAUUUAAUAUUAAUAAACUAAAUUAAUUAAAUAAAAUUAAUUAAAAGAAAAAUAAAAGAAAAAAACCUCUAAGAAGAAAAAAAACUAAAUAGAAAGAAAUUUAACAUUAACAAACUAAACGAAACGAAAAAAAAAUUAAAAAAAAAUUCAGGUUAACUCGUCAAACCAAGUUAACCCGUUAAACCCGGGAUCCGUGUCAUGAAUGUCUGGUAACUAAAUAAAAAAAAGUGAACAUUAACAAACUAAACUAAACAAAAAAAAAUUAAUUAAAAAGAAAAAAAAUCUGGGUUAACUCGUCAAACAUACAUACCGUUAAACCCAGGAUCUGUGUCAUGAAAGUCUGAUAACUAAAUAAAAAAAAUUAACAUUAACAAACUAAAUUAAACAAAAACAUUUAUGAAAAUAAUAAUAAUAAAAAUUAACGGUCAACCCGGAAUUAACUGGGUUCACCCGUGAAACCAGGUUAACCUGUGAAACUCGGGAUAUGUGUCAUGAAAGUCUAAUAACUAAAUAGAAAGAAAUUUAACAUUAACAAACUAAACUAAACGAAAAAAUUAAUUAAAAUAAUAAAAAGCAAAAAAAAAAUCUAUUUUAACUUGUCAAACCAAGUUAACCCGUUAAAUCCGAUAAACGUGUCAUGAAAGUCUGACAACUAAAUAAAACAAUUAAACAUUAAUAAACUAAAUUAAACAAAAAAAAUUGUUAAAAAAAACAAAGGAAGAGGCAAAAAAAAAAUCCCAAAAAACAUAAAAAAAACUAAGACAACUUAAAAAAAAACACCUAAGGAAUCAGUGUUUUACUGUGGAAAUGAAAAAAUUAAUUAAAAAAAAAUCUGAGUUAACCCAUUAAACCUGGAAUGCGUGUUAUAAAAGUUUGAGAUAGAAAAAAAUUUAACAUUAAUAAAAAAUUUUAUUUUUAAAUAUCCAUUAAAAAAAAUGAAGAAAAAGAAAAGCAAAAAGUAAAAAAAAACAUCUGAAUUAAUUGGGUUAACCCUCAAACCAAGUUAAGCCGUCAAAACAGGGAUUCGCGUCAUGAAAGUUUGAUAACUGCAUAAAAAAAAAAAUUAACGGAUUAACCCAUAAUUAAUUUGGUUAACCUAUGAAACCAGAAAAAAAAUCUGGGUUGACCCGUUAAACCGGGAAUGCGUGUUAUAAAAGUUUGAGAUACAAAAUUUUUUAACAUUAACAAAGUUUUUUUUUUUUUAAAUAUCCAUUAAACAAAAAAAGAAAAAAAAAAAAAACAAAAAAAAAAACGAAAAAAAAGACAGCUCAGUUAAAAAAAAAAAAUGAAAAAAAAGACUUAAAAAAAAAAAAAAAAAAGGAUCGGUGUUUUACUGUGGACUGCACUGUGCAGUCCACAGUAAAACACAGAUCUCUUUUAGCUAUAUAUAUAUAAUAUAAUAUAAUAAUUUAUCUAUUUAUCAAUGAGUUAAAUGACCCGCGCGAUGCCGCGGGUCAAUUAUUUUUUACAUUUCAAAAAAAAAGUUAAGAUCUAAAAGUGUUAAGUCUUUCUACAAAGUUAUACCCAAGAGUUUUAGGUUUGGUUGCAACGUCUAACCCAAUAGUAACAUCUAUAAUAUUAAUAAUAACAUUAAACUUGCAUGACUCAAAUUUAAGUGGGUUUGACUGUAAUACCAAACCCAAUAGCAUUGGACGUGAGUAUGGUUGCAAGGUCGUACGAUAAAAGUGUGAUAAUUAAAUAGAUUAAUUAAAUACAAAAAAACAAAGAAAAAAUAACUAAUAAAGAAAAAGAAAAAAAAUGAAUUAACCCUUCAAACCAGGUUAACCCGUCAAACCUUAGAUUCGCGUCGGAAAAGUUUGAUAACUAAACAGGAAAAAAAAAAAUUAAGGGGUUAACCCAGAAUUAAUCGGGCUAACUCGUCAAACCAGGUUAACCCGUCAAACCCGGAAUCCGUGUCAUGAAAGUUUGAUAACUAAAUAGAAAAAAAUUUAACAUUAACAAUUUAAAUUAAACAAAAAAAAUUAAUUAAAAAAAAAACAAAAGGCAUCAGCCUUUUUAUUGUGGACUGCACUGUGCAGUCCAUAGUCAAAAGCAUAAAAAACAACAAAAAAAAGAAAAAGAAAAACUAAAGGCACCAGCCGAGAACUACAUAGAAAAAAAUUUAGUAUUAAUUAAAUAAAAUUAAUUAAAAAGAAAAAAAACCUCUAUGAAGUAAAAAAAAAUUAAAUAGAAAGAAAUUUAACAUUAACAAACUAAACUAAAUUAAAAAAAUAAUUAAAAAAAAGCAAAAAAAAAAUUCAGGUUAACUCGUCAUACCAGACUAACCCAUUAAACCUGGGAUCCUUGUCAUGAAUGUCUGAUAACUAAAUAAAAAAAGUGAACGUUAACAAACUGAACUAAAUGAAAAAAAAUAAUUAAAUAGAAAAAAUUUGGGUUAACUCAUCAAAUUAUGUUAACCCGUUAAACUCCGGAUCUGUGCCAUGAAAGUCUAAUAACUAAAUAAAAAAAAUUAACAUUAACAAUCUAAAUUAACCAAAAAAAAUUAUGAAAAUAAAAAAACAAAAAAAAUUGACGGGUCAACCUAGAAUUAACUGGGUUCACCUGUGAAACUCAGGAUAUGUGUCAUGAAAGUCAGAUAACUAAAUAGAAAGAAAUUUAAUAUUAACAGACUAAACAAAACAAAAAAAAGUAAUUAAAACGAUAAAAAAAAGCAAAAAAUAAAUUAUGAGUUAACUUGUCAAACCAGGUUAACCCGUUAAACUUAAAAAACGUUUUAUGAAAGUUUAAUAACUAAAUAAAAAAAAUUAAACAUUAAUAAAGUAAAUUAAACAAAAUUUGUUUUGUUAAAAGAUAAAAAAAGAGCAAAAAAAAAAUCCUGAAAUUCAUAAAAAACAAUUAAAAAAAUAACACAACUUAAAAAAAAAAAAAAACAAACCUAAGGCAUUAUGAUCAUUGUUUUACUGUGUAUUGCACUGUGCAGUCCCGUGAAGGCCCCAGUCAAACACUGAUCUGUUUUAGUAUAUUUUACAAAUAUAAUAAUUUAUCUACUUUAUCAAUGAAAAGUAAUAAAAGAAAACGAAGACAAGAAAUAAAGUGAAGUCUUCUUCCGCAUUAUUAGCACAUGUGAAAAGAAAGAUUGGCAUGUAAUAAAAGUUAUUCCAAUCAAACCCACUUUAUUAAAGUUGUUGCAAAUAAAGCAAGGACAGGCCGAGUAAAGUGGGGGACAUACACUAAUAAGUUAACUAGCUUUGAUACCCGUGCGAUGCCGCGGGUUAUUUUUUUUAUAUACAAAAUAUUUUAAAAAAUAAAAAUAUAAAAAUCUUGAGUUUUUCUACAAAGUUAUACCCAAGAAUCUUGAGUUUGACUGCAACGACUGAUCUAAGAGUAAUAUUUAUAAUAUUAAUAAUAAAAUUAAACUUGCAUGACUCAAGUUUAAUUGAGCCUGACUGUAACACUGGACCUAAAAAUAUUAGAUGUGGGUCUGACUAUAAGGUCGUGUCAUAAAAGUAUGAUAAUUAAAUAGAUUAAUUAAAAAAAAACAAAGAAAAAAAUCAACAAAAGGAAAAAACUAAUGAAGAAAAAGAAAAAAGAAAAAAGAAAUUAAAUUAAUUGGGUUAACCCUUUAAACCAGGUUAUCCCGUAAAACUUGAGAUUUGCAUCAUAAAAGUUUGAUAACUAAAUAGAAAAAAAAAUGACGGGUUUACCCAGAAUUAACCGGGUUAACCUAUCAAACCUAGUUAACCCGUCAAGCCUGCUAAAAAACAAAAUCAGACCCAAUAGCCUUGUAUGCGGAUCUGGCUGCAAUGUCAUGUAAUAAAAGUGUGAUAAUUAAAUAAAUUAAUUAAAAAGAAAAAAAACCAAUUGAAAGAAAAAAACUAAUGAAGAAAACGAGAAAAAAUCUGAAUUAACUGGGUUAACCCGUUAAACCUUGGAUUCGUGUCAUGAAAGUUUGGUAACUAAAUAGAAAAAAAAAUUGACGGGUUAACCCAGAAUUAACCGGACUAACCCGUCAAACCAGGUUACCUAUCAAACCUAGGAUCCGUGUCAUGAAAGUUUGAUAACUAAAUAGCAAACAAAUUGAACAUUAACAACCUAAACUAAACGAAAAAAAUUAAUUAAAAUUUUUUUUUUUUUAAAAAAAACAAAACAAAAGACAUAAGCCUGUUACUAAUGAGGAAAAAGAAAAAAAUCUGAAGCAACUCAGUUAACCCUUAAAAUUAGGUUAACCCGUCAAACCUGAGAUUCGCGUCAUGAAAGUUUGAUAACUAAAUAGGAAAAAAUAAUUGAUGGGCUAAACGAAAAAAAUUAACAAACUAAACUAAAUGAAAAAAUUUGAUUAAAAAGGAAAAAAACAAAAAAAAAUUGGGUUAACUCAUCUAAUUAAGUUAACCCAUCAAACCCGAGAUCCGUGUCAUGAAAGUACGAUAACUAAAUAAUUUUUUUUUUCCACAUUAACAAACUAAAUUAAACAAAAAAAAAUUCAUUAAAAGAAAAAAAACACAAAGAAAAAACUAAAAUAAAAAACUCAUAGGCAUAAAAAAAGAAGGGAAAAAGAUCUGAAAAAAAAAAAAAAAAACAAACAAACACUUUAGCUACAGUAUUUUACCUACGCGUUUUAGUAUAUUAAUAUUAAUAAUAAUAAUAAUAACACUAAUUUGAGAUAUUUUUUUUACUUUGGAGUUUACAGGCAAAUAAAGUGAUGGAAGAAAAAGUCUUCUUCUGCAUGAUCACAUGAUGCGAAAAGCUUGGCAUUUGCUGAAGUUUUUCCAAUCAAACCCACUUUUUUCAAAGAUGGAAUUUCUCGGAAAAUAAAUCAAAGACAAGCCGAGUAAAAUGGAGUUCAGUGUUCUAUAUAUUUCUCAAGGGGAAAAAAAUAACGUCGUUUUCUUUUCUAUACAACUGUUUUGUUAGAGAUCUUAGCCGAUGCAUCUGAAUUAUAAUUUUUAGCAAUUAUAAUAUUUUAUAGCGCUAAUAUCUUACAAAAACAUAUUUUCUAGCUUUUUUUUUUUUUAUAGUAUGAUCAAAUAUUAAAAAAUAUUUUUCAACUCAUUAUCUUUAAUACAAUUAAAUUUCAUAGAAUUGUCUAUUUUUUUGAAAUAUAGUUUACUAUGAGAUUUAUUUGAUAAAAGAAAUUCACUUUGUAACAAUACACUAGAAAAAAAGAAGAAGAAGCUAAUGAUCAUUUAAACAUAUAGUCUCGCCAGAGAGACUAUAUUGGAAUCAUCUUGCUCAACAUGUCGAAUGAUGCAAGCGGAAGCAUAAUAAAACAACAAUAAACACAGACAAAAUAGAAAAUAAAGUUGAAUUAGGGUUAAACAUAAAAAAUCCUAUAACCUUAUUAUAUGUUUGAGUUGGCUUUUUAAAGAGGUUUACGAUGUUUUUUAUAACCUAAAAAAAACUGAUUACGCUAGAAAAUAAAAUUAAAAUCCCUAAAUAUAAAAGAAAAUAGCAUAAAACCAAAAACAAACAAUAAAUCUAAAAAUAUAUAAGAAAAAUAAUAAAUAUGAUCAAACAAACAACUUCAAAACCCGAAUCAUGCAAGUUAUAUAAUGAACAUAGUGGCUUCCCAUUAGAAAAAUACACAAGUUAUAUAUAUAUAUAUAUAUAUAUAUUAUAAUUAAAUUUAAAAAUUAUAACAAAUUAUUCCUGUUUUUAUUUUUUAACUUAAGGAUGAACAAUCUUGAAAAUGUGAGGAUGUUUAUUAAGGACUUGAGAUUGUUAACGUUGCAUCAACAGCCGGCUGAUCUUGUCAAUUCUGCUUAGACAAAAGGGUGUUGGCAAGUGCUUUCAAACGAUGUCAAGGAAAAAAUAAAUUUAAAGGAUAAAUUUUUUUUAAAAUCAAAACAAAAUAUAUAAAAUUAAAAGAUUGAAGAACAGAUUUUAUAUAAUCAAUAAAUAAUUUAAUAUAUUUUUUUAUUUUUUUACAACUUUUGAAAAAUAUAUUUGACUCAAAAUAAUAAAAAAUAUUUUUAUGAAAACAAGUCAAACAUUUUUUUAAUUUAGAAGUUUUUUUUAUUAAAUAAAUUUUUCAACGACAAACAAAUAUAAAAAAAGAAUUAAAAAAUGAUUUAUCAGAAAACCACAAACAAACUGUGCCUAGACUUCUUUAAUUUAGAAUUGCAAAUGUAUUUUGUUUGCAGUUUCUUCGUCUCUCUACCCUCCAAUCGAGGAUUUGACAACGACAUUGCAUGAUUUCUCUCUGGUCUAUGAACCAUUAAACAACAAUCACUCGAAACCCACGUACAGUCCCUGCCAUCCUCUCUUUCCAUUAAAAUGGAAGUCGCUGCAUGUGUUGCAUGUUCUCAUUAAGUCAAUAUGUGCAUGCAUGAUUAAUUAUGCACUUUGUAACCAUAAAUCUUCCUUUAAUCAUUCCAAAAAAGAAAAAAAUAGAAAAGAUUUUCUCUGAUCUGUUUGGUGAGUCCCAAUUAUCACUGGCUUUCAAUUUCCAUCCCGUCCUUUCUAGCUGGAUUGCGUGUUUUUUCUCUUCUUUUCUUUUUUGCUGGAAUACAAUAAUGCAUCACAAUGGUUAAUUCCAUGGUAAUUUCUUUAAUCAUUUAUAUACAUAAAUUUGGUUACAGAGGAGAAUGACACUUCCACCUCUAUAUUCAAAUAUUUAUUAAAAAUAUAGUUUAAUUGAUUAGGUUCUGAAUUUGUUUUUUAAAGGUUAAUAAUUCAAGUUUUAUAAACCUCAUAGUUAUUAAAGACUUACAUGAUCAUUAGCUUAGGACCUACGAAAUUAGUUGAAGUACGCACAAACUAGUCAAGAAAUCCAUGUUAAUUUUUAAAAAAAAAGUUUUGUAUUUUUAUUCAUUUUUAUUUAUAUAGUAUCUUUGAAAACAAAACAUCAAAUAUAACAUUGAUGGUUCAGAAAUAAUUCCAAAUUUCGAAGUAUACCAAAUAAUUACUUCCAAUCCACCCCAUUCAUAGAUCGUGUUAAAAACCAUGCUGUAUAUAUUUGAGGGGUGCAAGCGCCUUGUUUGAGGAUUGAGCAUAAAAGACUAAAAGAGUUAAAUAAAUACUAAAAGACAUAAAGUGAAGUUCUUAUAAUAUUCAUGGCAAUGGUCAUCAGCUCAUUUAUAAUUUAUUUAUAUACUUUAUCAAUGAAAUAAAAGUAAUAAAAGAAAAGGAGAGAAGAAAUAAAGUGAAGUCUUCUUCCGCAUUAUUAGCACAUCACGUGAAAACAAAGAUCGGCAUAUGAUAAAACCCAUUCUUUUCAAAGAGCAUAACAAGGGCCGAGAGAGACAAGGCUUUUGCGAGUUCUGUAUAUUUUUCUGUGGUGGUCCCAGCUAUUAUGUUGCUGACACUGGAUAGAGAGACUUCAACCACCAAUCAAAUUAUUUUUAUUGACCUUUUGUGCUGUUCGUCACUUUCCUUCGCUCCUUCUCUCUUUGCUGUCAAAUUUCAAAAACCUUAGCUAUUAGAAUAGUUGAGUGUUUGUUUUUGUAUUUUAAAAGAGUUUUUAAGAAUUUUAAAUGUUUUUAUUUUAAAUCAAUUUUUUAAUUGACUCCAUAAUAGAAAAGAUGCCAUCCCCCUAAUACAAAACUCUAAAAAAAAACAAUGAUCGUGCCACCACCGGUGGUUGUGCUGUUUUAUGACAUCACAAGCCAUAUAAGUAGCUGAUUAGAAUGAUUUUGUAUGGGACCCAGUUGUGACAUCAGCUGUUUUUGUGUUUUCUCUUUCAAUCAUAGCUAAAGACUAGGCAUGGCAUGAUAAUCGAUGGAUGGGGGUAGGGAUAAUGGGAGCCACAUGAUCCAUUUCGUGGUUGUUUCUUUCUUCUAUAAAGAAGAUCAUGCCAUCACGGAUCUUACGGGAUUGAUAUCUUGCCCGGUGUUGAUUUACUACAAUGGCUGCACGUGAACCCGUCCUCCAGGACAACUCCCAACAAGUGUCUGUCUAUCACUCUCAAAUUAAUUUGAUAUUUCUGUUCCAGUGCCUCCAUAGAAGAGUAUAGGUGUUAAUCAUUUUUUAUUUUUAUAUUUUAAAAGUUUUUUUUAAUAAUUUUUAUUUUUUACUUUAGAUUUUUUUUUGAUAUUUUUAGAUAUUUUGAUAUAAAAAUAUCAAAAAUAAUUUUUUUAAAAUAAGAAAAUAUUAUUUUAAUAUUUUUCCAAAUAAAAAACAUUUUAAAAAACAACAACAAUCAUAUUUUUAAACAACUCCUAAACCUUUCCCAUUUUUUUUGAGAUUAUAGUACCGAUGUUAUUUUAAUAUUUAAAAAAAAAAUCUUAAUUUUUUUAAAAUUAAAUUAAGCUUUUCUUUGAGUUCAAACAAAUCAAUGAGGAAGGUUGGUUAUUUGUCCUGCCGCACCAUCCUAAAAUGUAAUGUAAUAACCAAUGUAAUUUGAUGUUUGUGUUUCAUGGGUUCGUGUUGUUGAUGCGUGCUAUUGUACUUUCUAGGUGAUAAGGAAAAAAUUAUUUAUUUUGUCAAAUAAUUUAUAUUUUUUUAUAUUUAGCUUUGUUUGUAAUUGCAUUUCCAAUGUUAAUUUAUAUAGGCCUUGAAUUGGUACCUUUUUAUCAGUUUGAGCGUAAUUACCACCAACUUUCUGUAGGAUGAUAUGGGUAUUUUAGAUAGUGUAGCAUGAUCUUUACCUGUUACGUUUUUUUUUUAUAGGAUAAUUAUUCUCUCUUUUUAUGUUUAUUUAACUUAAGGAUAAUCAGUCUCGAAAAUGCGAGGAUGUUUAUCAAAGAGCAGAGAUUGUCACGCUGCAUUAACAACCAACUGUUGUAGUCAAUUCUGGUAGGCUAAAAGUCAUCCACUUGAUUGAUUAAUGGACAUUAGCUGUUUAGCACUCCAUGGUACUUCAGGCUCCUUUCCUACCCUUUUCCUCGCAAGUGACUUGUUAAUUUGCUUUAUUAGUAUCGGUAAUUUUGUGCAGAACUGUUAUUAUUCUUUGAAAUCAGGCACGGUUCGAGGAUUCAGCAUAAAAGAAUUUGGGUAUAUUAAUUAAAGCUAAAUUUAUUUUUUUUAAUCUCAACACAAAAAAAAUUGAAACAGACAUGUUUUUAUGUACUUUAUAUCUUGAAAAUACAAGAAUCCGUCUAAAUUAAUACAUAUUUAUUUUAUAUCUUUGUUUUCAUCUCCUUGAGCAAACGUGUUUUUAUCAUUUCAAUGUCUAUCGUUUUUAUUUAGUAAUAUUUAACCAAAGGCCACCUUAAAGAUUCAUGCAUGAAACAUCCAUUUCCUAAUCAAGUACUAGGCCAAUUCUUUCAAGUUUAUAUGUUAGACUUACAAUAAAACACUAUGUUAUGUUUGGUAACCAGUAUAAGCAUCAACAAAGUUAAAUAAAAGGAUCAAACCCAAACACAUUAGUGUAAAACAAGGAUCCAAUUAUCAUCGAGCCUAUUUUAACUUAAUCUCAACAAUCGUGUCACUAGUUAUUAAUUAUAACCCAUAUCUUGCACCAGAAAAAAGAAGUUACCAUAACCAAAGCACAUGCGUCUCAUAUAAUUUGAUUACUUGAAAUAUGUCUUUGAGGUAUAAUGACAUCGAAUAGACAAGGUAAUUGAAUUAAAUUAUAGGUCUUUUACCGAUAUUUUAUUAAAAUAAUAUUUGUUUAUUUUUUUAAAAUAAAAUAAAUCUUUUUUAUGCUGAUUUAACUAGGUUUAGAUCAGGUUUUGUCUAAUAAUAAAAUCAUUAAAAAUCUAGUAAGGUAAACAUAGUUUCAUUGCAUCAAUGCUUUUCUAAUUUAAUUUUAAAUUUGAUCAUGUCAAGAUUUGAAUUUUAUAGCUUCCAAUAGCAAAUCAAAUCACGGACAUAAUUAAAAAAUGAUACUAUAAAUAAAUAAAAAAGAUUUUGGAAUAAAAUGAUCCACAUAUAUAUAUAUAUAUAUAACAAGGUAAAGGGUCAAACGGUGGAAGAUAAAAACCAAUAAUGUCUCAUAAUAAUUUCAUUUAUUGUGAAGAGUUACUAUAUUGAUUGUUUUUAUAUUUUUUUUUAAAAUCACAUCCAUUUAUCUAAAAUUACUAGUCUUUAAAUAAUAAAAUAAUUUUUUAUAUAUAAUUUGCUCUACAGAUCACAGUUAUUAAACCCGGCCCGGCCCGGCGAGUCGACCCGGUGCUGGACCGGUUCGGGUUUAAUAAAAGACCGGUUGUGGCAACAGCCCGGCCAGACCCAGGCGACCCGGGCAAACCCGGACGAGACCCGAGUUUUUUUUUUUUUUUUUUAAUUUGGGAUAAAAAAAAAUUUGGUUUAAAUAUUUCAACUUAAAAUGAUAACAUAGUAUCUUUUCAAUGUGGGGUUUGAAGCCCUUUCAUAUAUAUACUUUAUGUUCACAUGAAAAAAAUUAUAUUUUUUCAAUGUGGGAUUUAAAACCCAUUAGUAUAUAUACUUUAUGUUCCCAAGGAAAAAAUCAUGUUUUUUCAAUGUGGGAUAAAAAACCUUUUAGUUUAAAUACUUCAACUUAAAGGGAUAACAUAGUAUCUUUUCAAUGUGGGAUUUGAAGCCCUUUCAUAUAUAUACUCUAUGUUCCCAUGAAAAAAGUUAUGUUUUUUCAAUGUGGGAUUUGAAACCCAUUAGUAUAUAUACUCUAUGUUCCCAAGGAAAAAAUCAUGCUUUUUCAAUGUGUGAUAAAAAUCCUUUUGGUUUAAAUACUUCAACUUAAAGGGAUAACAUAGUAUCUUUUCAAUGUGGGAUUUGAAGCCCUUUCAUAUAUAUACUCUAUGUUCCCAUAAAAAAAGUGAUGUUUUUUAAACUAAAAUGUUUUUUAUCCCACAUUGAAAAAACAUGAUUUUUUUUCUUUAGGAAUAUAGAGUAUAUAUACUAAUGGGUUUCAAAUCCCACAUCGAAAAAACAUAUGAAAAGUUUUUUGAGUUAGACAAAUACUAAGCAACAUUCUAGCAUGUGCAAUGAAGUUUUUACAAUAUUCGUAGUAACGGUCACCAGCUAAUUUAUAAUUUAUAAAUCUACUUUAUCAAUGAAAAGUGAUAGAAGCAUAGUUAUUAAACCCGAUCCGAAAGCCGGAUUUCAGAUUUCAUGGAUCAACUCGGAUUAACCUAAAAAAAUUAAAAAUACAUAUUUAAAGUUUUAAUAUUUCAUAUAUAAAAAUUAAGAAAAAAUUAAACUCAUGUAAAUAUAGGCUAUACUUAUUGUAAAUAAUGAAGUUUAAAAAAUAUAUUUUAAUUUUUUUUUAUCAUACAUUAAAAAGAUACUAUAUUAACCUUUUAAGUUGAAGUAUUUAAAUCAAAAACGUUUUUUAUCUCAUAUUGAAAAAAUAACUUUUUUCUUUGGAACAUACAAUAUAUAUAUUAAUAGGUUUCAAAUCUCACAAUAAAAAACAUAAUUUUUUUCUUGGAAACAUAUAUAUAUAUAUAUAUAUAUAUAUAUAUAUAUAUAUAUAUAUAAAAGGACUUUAAAUUCUACAUUAAAAAAAUAUUAUAUUAUCCUUUUAAGUUAAAGUAUUUAAACUAAAAAAUAUUUUAAAUUGAUCUGCUGAUAUGGUAAAAUCCAGAGAUUUCUUGGAAAAUAAAUGAAAGACAAACAGAGUAAAAUGGAGUCCAGAGCAUACAAGAGCCGAGAUUGAAACAGGAAAUGCAAGAAAAAAAAGAUGGGCCCUUGUUUUCUCUUUUUUAUGGCCGGCGACUGGAUAUAAAAAGGGAGGAGAUGAAGUGCCCGUUUGGUAACGUGGCUGCGGGUGAGGUUCACCCGCAGCUACGCCAAAUGCCGUUUGGUUAACAAGAAAAAAUUGCUUUUUUGAUAGUGGAACACAUGAAAUUUUCAGACGCGCCACAUGUUUUGGAGAAGCAGCAAAAUGCUGCUUCUCAUAGUAUAGAAAAGCAGAACAGUGGAGCCAUGCUCCACUGUUACAGUUUUAGUUUUUUUUUUUUUUGAAAAACAUUGCGAGAAGUUAAUUUUUUUUUUCUUGAAAAAUUAUUUCAAUUAAUUGAUUUUACUCGCAUUGUGAACGUGAACAUGAACAAUAUUAUUUUUUAAAAAAAUUAGUUUAAGGUGAAUUAAAUUUACUCGUAUUGUAAUAUCAAUUUUAUUCCUGAUAAUAUUUUAUUUAAUUUUAUUGCACGCUCAAAAAAUUAUUUUUUCUGUAGUUCUUGUCAAAUGAAUUUUAUACAUAAUAAAAUUGUAAUUUUUUUAAAAAAAUUUUGUUUUACUUGAAAAACUACUAUUUAAUAUUAUUUAAUAACACAUCAUAUAAAAAGAAAUUCAGUUUUUAUUUUUAUUUUAAUUGUGUUUUAUUCAAAAACUUAAAAGGAGAUCGCUCAAUGACGUAACAAAAAAUUCAGUUUUUUGUUGUUGCGCGCUUAAGAAACCAUGAAAAAUAUAGUCCUUGUUAGAUAGAUUUCGUAUGUAAUGACAUUGCACAUAGUUUAAUGGAAGAAUAAAAAAUAUUUGAUAUCAAUAUUAUUUAUUUCAUGAUAUAAUAACAGUGGUUAAAUCUACAAUAUUUAAAUUAAAAAUCAUUAAUAUAUAAAUUUUUUAAUUAUUUUAUAACCUCAAUUUGAAAAGUAUUUUUUUACCAGACACAUUAAACUACUUUUUAUUCAAUUUCAACCACAGUUUUAACUAAACAUAUAUUUUUUCAAACCAACCUUAACUAAAAAUACUUUUUAUAAAAUAACUUUUUUAAAAUAAUAACCACAAUAACAACCUCAAUACCAAACAGACCCGAAGCUUUCAAAUUAUUUACAAUUUUGCGGUCACUUAUUGUGUCCAUGUCGUUUUGUGUAAUUGCCCAGCUACCGGUACUAUUUUAACACUGUUAAAAGUCUAAAUUAUCAAUAUUUCCCCAAUUUAUCUCUAAAAAAAAUUCACUUCAAUUAAUAGCAUUUUUUUUUAUUUCUUUUGUCAAUGUUUACCUCUUUUUGAUAAACUUGUAUAUUUUUGUACCAGAGGUCUAAAAUUAUUGUGUCCACUUAUUACUUAUUUAAAUUCAUUAGAAUGUUUUAAAUAACUUUUUUAAAUUUUAAUCCCAGAGUUUACAUGCGUAAUACAUGAGUUAUAUAAAUUAUGAUUCAAAAUAUUGUUAUAACUAAAUUAAAAAAAAAAUACAAAUGAUCAAACCAUUGAUGCUGGUGAUGCUCUCGUCUCCAGAAUGGUCCGCUUGUACUUGGCUGAUGGAGCUGAGGGAAAGCCAAUGGCUACAAAGUGCGAAUGUGAUUUUCGCGAAAUGAAUUAGGGCAAGCAAAUUUUGUUCUCCGUCAUUUUGUAAAUUCUCGCAGCUGCUUGUUAGACGCCAUAAAUAGUCUAAGCUUGUUGUUGAGAUUUUUUAUUUUCUGUAUAUGAAUUUAGAGUUAAUUUCUUGAAUAUUAAGUUUUCUGAUUUUUCUAUAUAAUUAAUUUUUUAAUUUGAUUUGAUUAGUAUUAUCGUACAUUUCUCAUUCUAAAAAAAAAAAAAUACCAGAAGAAUAUUUUCUUUCUAUUGAAAACAUUUGUGGUUAGAACAAAGUAAUUUUUACUGGAGUGUCGUUUUGGGAUGCAGCAUGAACUUUACCUGUCUAAUUUGUACGGCGUGAGAAGAUGUUGCUUUCCAUGGCUUCUCCUUAAAAAAAUUCCAUCACAUUUGACAAUUUUGUUAUAAAAACAAAAGAUAUAUCUUUUAAAGAAGAGAAGUGAUACCUAAAAUUUAUAAAUGAUCUAAACUCUUAAUUUUUAAUCGAUGAUCAUGUUACUGAAAAAACGUACUACGCUUGGAGGACAUAGAGAACGUCCUACGCUUUCAUUCGAGUUUAGCGCACACGAGAAACCUGAAUUCUUUAUAAGAAGCUUGGUAUAAAUAUAUUUCUUCUUAGACAUUAAUUAUUCAUGCAAUUGAAGUUGAGUUUGGGUUAGGUUUUGGAUAGGGCAUGGUAAUAUCUAACCUGAUCUGAAACUUGAUUUUUUAUCUUCAAGUUUUACAUCAAAUCAACUUGAAUUAAAAAAUUUCUUAAUUAUUUGAAUAAGUUCAAGACAAUAUCCAUAGAAUUCAAGUGAAAUCGGCCCGAGGAGGAUAUACAAGUAGACUUCUAGUUUUCUCAAAUAUUUUAAUUUUAAUGAUUGGACAAGAGAGCAAAAAUACCAUAUUAAUAUUUUUUUUCUUUUUAUGAAAAUAAAACAUAUCUUUUCUCACUAGCACAUAUUCAUCCCAACUUGAAAAUACAUUUUUAAUAACGUGAUUAUACGAUGAGGUCCCCACUUGUCAGGUAAAGCUUCGGCACCUCCUUCAAUCCUAGUUUGGGAAACAGAAGCACUCUAUCACCAUUAGUUUUCCCCGAGGAAGACAGCACCCCGAUUCCCUCCUCCUGUGCUGAUGAUGGGGCAUGAGAGAGAGUCCAUACGAGUUCAAAAUAAAAUUAUUAAUAUAUAAUUAAAUAAAAUUAAAAUUCACCUAGGUAAAAUUUUUAUAUAGACAAAUGCCAGGAUACAAAAAUUUUAUCCCGGGAACAUGAAAUUUACUAUUUGGAAUAUAGAGGGAAUUUAGUAAAAUUUUAGCGUAUGUGUGCGUGCUCCAGUAAAAAGAAAAAGAAGAAAAGAAAAAGAAGGAAACUAUCAUUUACAUAUGAGAGAGAUAAAAUUGUAACGAAAACAUAAAAUCUUAAGGGAAGAUCUUGAGGGAAAGUAACUAAGCUUUGUGAGCAUUAAUUGGAAGGAAUAAAAAUUAAAUGAAGGUGAGUAGAAAAGAAGAGAGGAAGUUCAACCAAGAUUGAAGAAGAGGAGGAGUUGAAAGCUUGAUUUGGAAAGUGUUUAGAGUUUAAUUACUUGCUUGGUAAUGCAUUCUAAAGACAUUUGAUCUAAAUUUUAAUUGCUUAAAGUUCUUAAUUGGUUGAAUUUUUGAAAUUAAAAAGUUAGGGCUCUUGAAUAAAUUUGAGAAAAAUAAAAAUUUAUUUUAAUUUGUCAUGGGAAAUAAUAUGAAAAUUAGAGUAAAGUGAUUAAAUUAUUAUAAUUAAAGUAAAAAUUUUGAUAAUUAAAUAGAGCUAGUGGCCGGCUAAUGAUGAGAGAUUUUAGAGGAUUUAAUUGUGAAUAAAUAUUGUGAAUUGAUGAACAAUAUAGUAAGUAGAACUGUUUUUUGAAUAUCUCUUUAUAACUUUUUAAAUUUUAUGGAACACUUGUGUUGAUUCUUGAGAUUGUGUGAAAUAUUACUACCAUGAAAAUAAAAAAAGGAAUUGAUGUCUAGAUAAGAAAUAUCAUUGAGUUGUUGGUUAAAAUCCAUAAAACGGUCUAAUUUUUAGAAAUAUAGUUUACUAUGAAAUUUAUUUGAUAAAAGAAAAGUAGGAACUUUAUGGUAUAUUUCCUUGACAAUGAGUACCCGAUUAAACAAUAUUUAUAUUAAAUUAAAACUUAUGGUAUGUAUCCUUGACAGCGAAAUAAAGAAAAGUAGGAACCUUGUAAUAUCUAGGUAAUUUUUAUGCCCUUUUAAGGAGCCCUACAAACUGAGGCUAUAAUGAGCCCAUGACAGAGGGAGACAGAAAAGCAUAAUUUCAGAAGACCAUGACACAAAUCAACAGCUGAAAUCCAAUCACUUAAGGGAUGGUGACAUGUCGCAUGAGUGGAGACAACUGGUCUUCAGUACAAAAAGAAACAAAGCGUUUUCAUUGUUUAAUUUGUUUUUUGAAGUGUCUUUGUUCUCGUGAUUGCUCUUGUGGUGAUGGAGACUUUAAAAAGAUAGUUUAUAAAAAUUAUUUUCACUCGUGAUUUGUUUGAUUUAAAUAAAUAUUUAAUUAAAAAUGUUUAACUAAAAUUAUGAUUAAAAUGGAUGUUUUAACUUAAAUUACCACAAAAGACACUGGUAAAGGGGGAGAUGAUGUGAGAGACGAUUGGGUAUUUUAUUUAAUUGUCAAAACAUUAACUGUUGUGGUCAAUUCUGGUGGACUAAAAGCCAUCUACUUGAUUAAUGGCCCUUUUCCUCGCUGGAUCCUUGAUAUUUUCAAGGGGUGCAAGCGCCUUGUUCGAGGAUUGAGCAUAAAAAGAUUAAAAAGAGUUAAAUUGAAAUAUAACUAAAACGGAUGAGUGUUUUAUUUUUAAGUGGUCAAUUCCUAUUGUUUUACGUGUUUUUUUUAAAAAAAAUUUUGCUUUUUUUUUUAAGUUUUUUUUUUUUUUUUUAAUUGAGCUGUUUUUUUUUUUUACUUUUUGCUUUUUUUUUUCUUUGUUUUUGUUUAAUGGAUAUUUUAAAAAAACAAAAUUGUUAAUAUUAAAUUUUUUUGUAUCUCAAACUUUUAUAACACGCAUUCUGAGUUUAACGGGUUAACUCAAAUUUUUUUUUCCUGGUUUCAUAGGUUAACCAAAUUAAUUAUGGGUUAACCCGUCAAUUUUGUUUCUAUACAGUUAUCAAACUUUCAUGACGCGAAUCCCUGGUUUGACGGGUUAACUUGGUUUGAGGAUUAACCCAAUUAAUUCGAUUUUUUUUUUAUUUUUUGCUUUUCUUUUUCUUCAUUUUUUCUUUGUUUUUUUUAAUGGAUAUUUUAAAAAUAAUUUUUUUUAUUAAUAUUAAAUUUUUUUCUAUCUCAAACUUUUAUAGCACGCAUUCCAGGUUUAAUUGGUUACCUCAGAUUUUUUUUUUUGGUUUUUCUUUUUAAUUAAAAUUUUCAUUUUCACAAUAAAACACUGAUUCCUUAGGCCUUUUUUUUUUUAAAUUGUCUUAGUUUUUUUAGUUGUUUUUUUUAUGUUUUUUGGGAAUUUUUUUUGCUUCUUCCUUUGUUUUUUUUUUAACAAAAUUUUUUUGUUUAAUUUAGUUUAUUAAUGUUUAUUUUUUUUUUUUGUCAGACUUUCAUGAUACGUUUACCGGAUUUAACGGGUUAACUUGGUUUGACAAGUUAAAAUAUUUUUUUUUUUGCUUUUUAUUCUUUUUAAUUAAUUUUUUUUUUGUUUAGUUUAGUUUGUUAAUGUUAAAUGUCUUUCUAUUUAGUUAUUAAACUUUCAUGACACAUAUCCUGAGUUUCACGGGUUAACCUGGUUUCACGGGUGAACCCAGUUAAUUCCGGAUUGACCCGUCAAUUUUUUUUUUUUCAUAAAUGUUUUAGUUUAAUUUAGUUUGUUAAUGUUAAUUUUUUUUUUAUUUAGUUAUCAGACUCUCAUGACACAGAUCCUGGGUUUUACGGGUUAGCAUGGUUUGACGUGGUAACCCCUGUUUUUUUUUCUUUUUAAUUAAUUUUUUUUUGUUUAGUUUAGUUUGUUAAUGUUCACUUUUUUUUUAUUUAGUUACCAGACAUUCAUGACACGGAUCCUGAGUUUAACGGGUUAACUUGGUUUGACGAGUUAACCUGAUUUUUUUUUUAAUUAUUUUUUUCGUUUCGUUUAGUUUCUAUUUAGUAUUUUUUUCUUCUUAGAGGUUUUUUUCUUUUAUGUUUUCUUUUUAAUUAAUUUAGUUUAUUAAUAUUAAAUUUUUUUCUAAUUAGUUUUUGGCUGAUGCCUUUAGUUUUUUUUUAUGCCUUUGACUGUGGACUGCACUGUGCAGUCCACAGUGAAAAGGCUGAUGCCUUUUGUUUUUUUUUUUAAUUAAUUUUUUUUGUUUAAUUUAAAUUGCUAAUGUUAAUUUUUUUUCUAUUUAGUUAUCAAACUUUCAUUACACGGAUUCCGGGUUUGACAGGUUAACUUGGUUUGACGAGUUAGCCCAGUUAAUUCUGGGUUAACCCAUUAAUUUGUUUUUUUUUUUAAUUAUCAAAUUUUAAUGAUGCGAAUUCAAGGUAUGACGGGUUAACCUGGUUUGAAGGGUUAACCCAAUUAAUUCAUUUUUUUUCAUUAGUUUUUUUCUUCUUGUUGGUUUUUUUUAACUACUCUAUUUAAUUAUCACACUUUUUUAACACGACCUUGCAGUCAGACCCACGUCCAAUGCUAUUGGAUCUGGUAUUGUAGUGCAGACACUUUUAUGCUAAUGGUUAACCCAAGUUUAAUGUUAUUAUUAAUAUUAUAAACAUUACUCUUGGAUCAGGCGAUGCAACCAAAACUGAGACUUUUGGGUAUAACCUUACAAAAAAACCUAACACUUUUAGAUCUUGGUUAUUUUUAAAAUGCAAAAAAUAAUUGACCCGCGGUAUCGCGCGGGGCAUGUAACUAAUACUAAAAGACAUAAAGUGAAGUUUUUUCAGCUCAUUUAUAAUUCAUAAUUUAUUUAUCAAUGAAUGAAAAGUAAUAAAAGAAAAGUGAUAAAAGAAGAAGAGAGAAGAAAUAAAGUGAAUUACCAUCUUAGGAUCUCUUGGCAAAUAAAGCAAGUAAAAUUAAUAAAAUGUGGGACCUAACUCCAAUUUCCUAGCACCCGCAACCCACGCAUACACAAACCCGUACUUUAUCAAUGAAGGAAAAGUGAUAAAAGAAGAAAAGAGAAGAAAUAAAGUGAAGUCUUCUUCUGCAUUAUUAGCACACCACGUGAAAAUAAAGACUGGCAUAUAAUAAAAGUUAUUCCAAUCAAACCCAUUUUUUCGACGAUGGGAUCUCUUGGCAAAUAAAGCGAGGACAACCGAGUAAAAUGGGGGACAUAACUCGUUUUUCCUGGCACACGCAACUCACGCAUACACUAACACUAAUUUGAGAUAUUUUUUUUUACUUUGGAGUUUACAGGCAAAUAAAGUGAGGAAGAACAUCUUCUUCUGCAUCAUCGCAUCACGUGAAAAGCUUGGCAUUUAAUGAAGUUUUUCCAAUCAAACCCACUCUUUUCAAAGAUGAAAUUUCUAGGAAAAUAAAUCAAAGACAAAACCGAGUAAAAUGGAAUUCCCGGCAUAAUGAUUAUUUUUUAAUAUAUUUUUUAUUUUUAAAAAAAUUAAAUAAUAUUUUUUUAUUUUUAAAAAUUAUUUUCAAUAUCAACACAUCAAAAUUAAAAUGAUUUAAAAAUAUUAAAAAUAUAUUCAUUUAAAAUAAAAAAAAUUUAAUUUUUUUUAAAAAUACUUUCCACCAAAAACAUAUUAGUCAAUAUCUGCAUGAUUAAUUAUGCACUUUGCAACCAUAAAUCUUCCUUUAAUCAUAAGAAUAUCUGCUGUUCAUAACGAGUCAUUCAAGUAUGAUUAUUUACUUAAAUAAUUAAUUAUGUUUAAUUAGAUCUAUCCAUAAGUUUGCAAUUGAGCUAAUUGUUCUAUAAUUACUGUAGCUAUGAAAGGUCAAGCACAAUUUCAUCCAAAACAAAACUCGUUAUUUUCAAAAAGAAAAAAUACCCCAAUUUUUUUCUUAUAUUUUAGUAUUUUUUAUAUUUAAAGGCAGUAUAGUUGUAAUAUUUUCAAGUAAUCGAAACAACCACCUAUGCAUCAAUUAUAUGAUAUACUGACUUGACUUUCCCAAGUGUUUUGAGUUUUGAGUACUAGAAGAAGAAAAUAUACUUCUCUCUAAAAAAUAAGGAAAUUUCAGAUGUAUUUUCUUUUAACUGGCGAAAAAACAGGAAGACGAAGAAAGGAAUAUUUUAUUUCUUCUAGGAGUAUGGUUAGCACGAGAGAAAAGAAAAGGGAAAGGCCUAUCGACUCUUUUUUUUUCCAUGUUCACGGGUAGUACGGAUCGCUUACCAUGAAAGCUAAUGGAAAUGCUCUUUCUCCAUGAAAGCUAAUGGAAAUAUGUAUAAAUCAUCAUUUUAUCUUUAUGUAGCAUAUUGUCCGAAGAUUGGGAAAUUUCGUGGGAAAUUGUCCGAAGACAGGAAACGUAAUUUCUCUCUAAAAAAUAAGGAAAUUUCAGAUGUAUUUUCUUUUAACUGGCGAAAAAACAGGAAGACAAAGAAAGAAAGGAAUAUCUUAUUUCUUGUAGGAGUAUGGUUAGCACGAGCUAUAAGAGUUGUACACGAGAGAAAAGAAAAGGGAAGGCCUAUCGAUUCUUUUUUUCUAUGUUCACAGGUAGUACGGAUCGCUUACCAUGAACAUCAAACCUAUCAUUCAUAAACUGUGCCUAGACUUCUUUAAUCAUUUACAUAUAUAAAUUUGGUUAAUCAAGUUGGAGAAGUUCGUGUCAAGAACCAUGCUGUAUAUGUUUGAUAAUGCAGUGAAUAUAAUUUUACAACAAUAUUUUUCAAUUAAUAAAAUAUUUCUUAAAGAAAUUUUCAAUAAUCUUGUUAAGAAAUUUGGGUGGCCAGACAUUUUAAAGAAUGAUGCUAGUUUCUGGCCACAAGUGGUCAUGCUAGUGACUAAUCACUUUUUGAUCAUGUCUGAUACUGGUGGUGAUCUUUUUUAUCAUCGUAUUUUCCAUCAAUUUUUUUUAACAAAAAGAAAGUUUUUAAAAUGAUUUUGUGAAAAUAACUUUUUAUAAAACAAAUGGUAACUAGUUUUGCAAUAUAUGCGCUUCAAAAGAAAGACCAAAGGUGACAUUUAUUAUAACUUUGCAACCACUGCUAGAUGUUCAUCAUGGCGUCUUCUUCUUCUUUGCCUAGACCUGUUUUGGUUUCCGAUGUAUUUCUAAGUUUUAGAGGUGAAGAUACUCGCAAAAAUUUUACGGAUCAUCUUUACACUGCUUUAGACCGAGCAGGAAUCCAAGCAUUUCGAGAUGACGAAAAACUUCGUAGUGGUGAAGAAAUCUCCUUACAACUCUCCAAAGCAAUUCAAGAAUCCAAGAUUUCUAUAGUGGUUUUCUCUAAGGGCUAUGCUUCCUCCACUUGGUGCCUUGGUGAACUUCUAAAGAUUCUUGAAUGCAGACACACAACUGGUCAGAUUGUUCUACCUGUUUUCUAUGAUAUCGAUCCUUCUGAUAUUAGAAAACAGACGGGGAGUUUUGCUAAAGCUUUCCGUAGACAUAAAAGACGUUUUAAGGAAGAAAUGGAGAAGGUCCAAAAGUGGAGAAAAGCUCUUGUGGAGGCUGCAAAUUUAACUGGGCUGGAUCGUCGCAGUAUCGCAAAUGGGUACUUCUUUUCUUCCCCUAUAUCAAUAGCAAAGGCUCAUAACUUUUACCCUUAUUACAUUUUGUAUUUUAAAUUUGCAUUAAAUUCAAAAGAUUAUCUUUCAUCGAUGAGUGAUGACUUUCUUUUUCUAUCCACAGGCACGAAUCAAAAUUAAUUCAAAAGAUUGUCGAAGAAGUUUCAAGUAAAUUGUAUCCCAGAAGCAUGAACGUUAGUAGUCUGCUGCAGAAGUUGAAGACAGCAAUGAUACCUGGCAGGGGGCUGCUUGACGAUGCUGAGGAGAAGCAGAUAACAAAUGCAGCUGUGCGGGAUUGGCUGGUCGCGUAUAAAGAUGCUGUCUAUGAAGCCGACGACUUCUUGGAUGAGAUUGCUUAUGAAGAUCUACGGCAGGAGUUGGAAGCUGAAGCUCAAAUCUUCAUUAUCCCACGUGAAAUAAUGGGGUUGAGAGAGAUUAGAAGAAAAAUCAAGAGCCUCCAUGAGAGACUAGAUGACUUAGUAAACAAAAGGAUGCCCUUGGUUUGAAUCAACCGCACUGGAAAAGAACCAUCAUCGCAAGACAAAACUUCUCUCGUGAUGAAUCUGGUGUUUAUGGUAGAGAUGAUGACAGCAAAGCAAUACUGAAGUUGCUUCUAUCAGAUGAUGCAAAUGGACAAAACCCAGGUGUCGUUCCCAUAGUAGGAAUGGGCGGGGUUGGUAAAACCACGCUUGCGCAGCUUGUAUACAAUCACAGCAGAGUACAAGAGUGGUUCAACCUCGAAGCUUGGGUUUGUGUUUCAGAAGAUUUCAGUGUUUUGAAGUUAACCAAGGUUAUCCUUGAGGCGUUCGGUUCAAAGCCUGAUUCUGAUAGACUGGAUAAGCUCCAGCUUCAGUUGAAGAAGAGAUUGGAGGGAAAUGAAUUCUUGCUUGUUUUAGAUGACGUUUGGAAUGAAGAUUAUGAUGAAUGGGAUAGGUUUCUUACCCCCCUGAAGUUCGGAGCACAAGGGAGUAAGAUUCUUGUCACAACACGCAAUGAAAGUGUAGCAUCAGUCAUGAGAACUGUUCCAACUCAUCAUCUAAAAGAAUUGACGGAAGACAGCUGCUGGUCUGUGUUCGCCAAACAUGCAUUUCGUGGUGAAAAUCCCAAUGAUUAUGAAGAGUUGCUAGAGAUUGGCAAAGCUAUAGCAAGAAAGUGUAAAGGCCUUCCUCUAGCUGCAAAAACACUCGGAGGUCAACUACGCACCCAAAGAGAUGCCGAGGAGUGGGAGAAGUUAUUGGAAAGCAAUCUAUGGGAUUUACCCAAUGAAGGUAUCCUCCACAUCUGAAGCAAUGUUUUGCUUAUUGUGCCAUAUUUCCAAAAGACUAUUCAUUUAAAAAGGAUGAAUUGGUUCUCUUUUGGAUGGCAGAGGGCUUCUUAGACCCCUCUGCAGUAGAUGAUGAGAUGGAAAAAGCAGGUGCUAUGUGCUUUGAUGAUCUCUUGUCAAGGUCCUUUUUCCAGCAAUCAAGUGUCUCUCGCUCAUCAUUUGUGAUGCACGAUCUCAUGCAUGACUUGGCUACCCAUGUGUCCGGUCAAUUUUGCUUCAGCUCCAGGUUGGGGGAAAAUAAUUCUUCCAAGGCCACCAGAAGGACUCGACAUUUAUCACAUACGGGAGCCGGUUUUCGCAGCACAAAAUUGGAAAACAUCCGUGAAGCCCAACUUAUACGCACAUUCCAAAAUUGGCAUCAUUUUCCUGGUUGGUACUAUAAAGAGAUCUUUCAUAUAUUGCCAACACUUGGGCGCCUACGUGUGCUAUCCUUGUCUGUCCAUCCCGGUGCAGCUAAGAUGCUUUGUUCAAUUAGCAAGUUGAAGCAUUUGCGGUAUUUGGAUCUCUCGUCGUCAGAAUAUUUAGUAACGUUGCCUGAAGAAGUGAGUGCUCUUCUCAAUUUGCAAACGUUGAUCUUGAAAAAGUGCCAACAACUUGCUAGUCUACCUGAUCUUGGAAAUUUGAAGCAUUUACGACAUCUGAAUCUUGAAGGAGCAGGAAUCAAAAGGUUGCCUGCAUCUCUGGUAAGGUUAAUCAACUUGCGGUAUCUUAACAUCUCAUGGACGAAUUCUUUGAAAGAGAUGCCACCACAUAUAGGUCAACUUGCAAAGCUCCAAACGUUGACUUUAUUUCUCGUGGGAAGACAAAGUGAGAAUAGCAUUAAAGAAUUGGGAAAGCUACGACAUCUACGGGGAAAACUUCAUAUUGAGAACCUUGAAAAUGUGGUGGAUGCUCGGGAUGCUGCUGAGGCAAAUUUGAAAUGUAAAAAGCUUGAUCAUCUGAUCUUUAGCUGGAAUGGUAAGACUCAUGACCCGCAACACGUAACAAGCACACUUGAGAAAUUAGAGCCAAAUAGAAAGGUGAAGGAUCUUCAGAUUUACUGUUAUGGAGGUGUAAGGUUUCCGGAGUGGGUAGGAGACUCCUCUUUCUCAAAUAUAGUGUCCUUGAUGCUCUAUGGAUGUACAAACUGCACCUCCUUACCACCGCUCGGACAAUUAGCUUCUUUAGAGGAUCUCUCCAUUAAUGAAUUCCACAAAGUUGAGACUGUGGGCUCCGAGUUCUAUGGGAAUCGUACCGCUGUGAAGAAGCCAUUUGAAUCCCUCAAAAAAUUAUGUUUUGUAAGGAUGGCAGUGUGGCGCGAGUGGAUUUCAGACGAAGGCAGCCGGGAAGCCUUCCCUCUUCUUGAUGAGCUUACAAUCGUGGAAUGCCCCAACCUUGCAAAGGUCCUACCUAGUCACCACCUUCCAUGUGUAACAAGACUUGAAAUUAGAGCAUGUGAGCGGCUCGCGGCCCCAUUUCCCAGGUUUCAUAGGUUGCAAUCCCUCGAUGUUUCUGUAAACCGCGACUGGCCACCUUCUAAGCAAAUGGGCUGGGCUGCUCUCAAAUGCUUCGCCCUGGACUUGGUCCCCAACUUAAAUUCUCUUUCUAUCUCUUCCUGUCCAGAUCUGGAAUCACUAUGUGCACAUGAAAGACCUCUCAACGAUCUCACCUCUCUCCAUUCUUUGUCUAUCUGGGGGUGCCCUAAAUUAGUUUCAUUUCCCAAAGGAGGGUUACCUGCUCCAGUCUUGACACGACUUGUGUUAAAUCAUUGCAACAACCUGAAGCAGUUGCCUGAGAGUAUGCAUUCCCUCCUACCAUCCCUUAACCACUUGGAAAUAAGAGGUUGUUUAGAAGUUGAGUUGUGUCCAGAAGGGGGUUUUCCCUCCACAUUACAAUCACUUGUGAUUAGUAAUAGCAACAAACUCAUUGCAGGCCGCAUGCAAUGGGGCUUGCAAACGCUCCCUUCUCUUUCACGCUUUGUUAUUGGUGGCCAUGAAAAUAUUGAAUCCUUCCCUGAAGAGAUGCUUCUGCCCUCAAGUCUUACAUCUCUCAGCAUCAUUGGCCUAAAACACCUGAAAUCUCUUGACUACAAGGGGCUUCAACACCUCACCUCUCUUACAUCAUUGAGAAUAAUUAUCUGCCCUCUGAUUGAGUCAAUGCCAGAAGAAGGGUUGCCCUCCUCCCUUUUUAUUCUUGAUAUUUACUAUUGUCCAAUGCUGGGUGAAAGUUGUGAAAGGGAGAAAGGUAAAGAUUGGCCCAAGAUUUCUCACAUUCCUUACAUAGACAUCAGCACAGCAAAGAAGUAGCAGUUAAAAGGAGCUUUUCUUUCGAUCAAAGGCAACAUAUUUUUUUGAGGUAUUGCUACUAAAUAGUUUAUUUUCUUUUCUGUAAUCAAAGGCAAUUUCAGUUAAAAUUUGGAUGAAUGAAGUACAGAUAUUGUCCAUUUUGUAUUGUUUUUAUUUGUUGGAUGUUGAAAUACAGAUAAUUUCUUCCAUAAAUAAUAAUCAUCAUUCUGUUUCAAUAUAUCGAGCUGGAGGAUCAUCACAUGCUUCAGAUUUUGAACUGCCAGCACUAGUAAUUAUAAAUCCAUUGUUAAAAAGGAUUAAAAAAAUUAAAUUAUGUAAGUAAUUUGCAACGGAUUUUUCAUUAUUCACGUGCUUGGCAACAUCAAAUCUGCAACUGAUUCCAAAGAUAAAUCAAACCCUUAAUUAUAUAAAAUCCCCAUCCUUUCUCCUUUUCUCUUUUCCCGCAUCUUCAAAAAUUAAAAAAAAUAAAAUUCUCCAUCUCUUUCUCUAGUCUCUUCCCUUCUCCAAAAAUUCAAAAUUCAAAAACUUUUUUUAUCUUUUAUUUAUUAUUUAACUUUGAUUAGAUUGUUUUUAUUCCAUAUAAAGCAGAAGUUAAAAAAUGAUUUUGGAGUGCAUGUAAGUCAUAUCAUUUUUGGAGUGUACUUUGAUAAAAAAACAGACAUAAAGAGAGAAGAAAUAAAAUUCAUGACUCUUUAUCUUGCCCAAAAUAACAGCGAGGGCUCAUGGAUGCUGCACCAGGGUAAAGCUACAAAUGCCAACGCUGAUGAAGAGUUACAAGAAAUUGGUAGAGCAAUAGUGAGGAUUGUCUGAUGUUCAUCUAUAAUAGCAGCAGAUAAAUAAUUGUAGCUGAAGAAAAGAAUGGUGUGCGAGAGCAAUUUCAUAGAAAUGAAACUGCUUUUAUUGGACGUGAAACUUCUUGCCUCCAAUAUUUGUGUUUUGAUCUUCUAGCCUUUUGGUGUUCUAUGGCUUUGUUGCUGCCUUUUAGUCUUUUGGUGUUCCACGGUGCUGCUGCUUUUUGGCUCUUGAUUUAAUGGAAAUGCUGUCCUUGUAUCGUUUGGGUUUUGGCAUCGUUGGCUCCUGCCGUUGUCUGUUCUCCGGUCAUCGAAGCUGACAGCAAUCCUCCGACUCUGUUAUUGCAGUCAGAUGCUUCCUCAGUUUUAUCCUUUGGUCAUUUUCAAAAUCAGAUACUCCUGUAAAUAUUACAAAACAACUGUGACACUGCUUUUACUAUAUCUUAAUAGCUAUUUUUUCUUGGGAUAUUUAAUUUAAUUUACAAUAAAUUCUGGUUAAUUUACAAUAAGUUUAUAUAGCUUGAAAGUGAAGCUCAUCUUCUAUUUAGUUUUCUUAAAUAUAUAAUUUUAAAUUAAAUUACUUUUAAAAUAAUUUUGAGUAUAUCUUACAUGUUUAAACAUUAACUUUGUUGGAUGGAUGCAUUUUUUAUUGUAAAAAAAAAAACUUCAAAAAAAAAUUUUCUAACAAAAAAAAUGUUUUUUUAGAAAAAAUAUGAUUAAAAAACGUUUUAAAAACUCAUGGUCUAAAAUGGACAUUACUGAAAAGCUACUUUUUUCCAAGUAUUACAUAGGCAAGUAUGCGUAUAUGUUUAGGGUGAUAGGUAUGGGUCGAGUAGUAGCAAAAUAUUUUUUAAUGGUAAAACAUGAGAUAGGCUCAUUCACCUCUUUACCGGUCUUUAUUUCUUAAUAAAUUUUAUCCAAAUAUUUUUUUUAAAUGGAUAAAAUGGAUUAUAAUAUUUGUAAUGGAUAAUGACUGUUAAAAAAAAAAUUAAACUCAAAUUAUAAUUUUGCAAAUUUUAGUAUUUAAAAUAAAAUAAUUCAUAAGUGGUGAUUAAAGAGGUUACUAUCUUGGGUAACAUUCAAAUUCCAUCUAUGGGUGUUCUCUGAAAACUUGGCAAAUCCUCGCAAUCGUUGUUCUCUGAAAUCUGUAAAGAACGUUGUAGGAGUUCUAAAUCCUAGCACCCACCCAGCAUUGUUUUGAAGAAGUAUACCUUCUUUACUUGUUCUUUACCCUUUUUUAUGUUUGUAAUUCUUAUAUACAAGCAUUUGCUUUGAUUUUUUUGUCAGGAAAGUAUUAUGUAAACUAGAUUCAUUAUUUCUAAUUUGUAAGAGAAUAUAUGAUCAUAUUUAAAUACAUUAACAAAUUAAUUUCCUCAUUUCUCUUAAUUUUUAAGAAAAUCUUUCUUCUAUUAUAAUUAUAGUUAUUGUUUUUUUAAAUCUAAAAUCAAUGUCAUGGUUAAAUAGAAUGGUAUGUUAUCCUUAUUUUUAUUAAAUUAAAUUAAAAUAAAAAACUAAAUUUCUUAAACAAAUUACUGUUUACUAUGACCAUGAUAAAGUUGUUCUUUAACCGCUAAACCUUUUAACCCUUUAUGAUUUUUUAAUUUACAAAUUGUUUUCAAAUUAAGGAAAUUCUUAAGAAAAUCUAUCAUAUUAUAUAUAUUUUUUAAUAUCACCCCUUUAAUUUUUUAAUCGUUUAAAUUUAAUCUUUAUUAUUUUUCAUUGCUUUUUGUUUUUACAAUUUUAUUUUCCUUGGGUUUUUUUUCUAUGAAAUGGUAUCCUUAUUUUUUUUGUUGCUAUAUCUUUUAUUUUUGCAAGUUUUUUUAUUGAACCCGGGUCUAGAAUUACACGAGUUGCCAGUUUUAGAGUUUGACCAAGUUUAGUAGGUUUAUCCGACUUUACUUGGUUUUUUUUUUCUUUCUUGAGCUGAUUUUUUUUAUUUUUUUAUAGUUUUGCUUUGUUAUUUUUAACAGCUUAUCUUUUAUAAAGUUAGCCCUGAGUUUAUGACUAGAAUCAUCGGUUUCAAUGGGUUAACAUGAGAUGAUUUUAAAUUUUUUUAAUUAAUUUAUUUCAAUUUCAUCAUUCUUUUUUUUUUAUAUUUUUUUUUUCUAUGAGACUAUCUCAAUCUUAUAUUCAUGGUUGCGAAGUUGAUGAGUUUACCUGGUUUAAUAGAGUUUUUUAUAGUUUCACCUUUUGUUAGAUAAUUCGGAGGGCUCAAUUCUGUUUUUUUUUUAGUUUUUUUGUCAUUGUUAUUUUUUUAAUUAAUUUAUUGUAGUUGUAUUUUUUAUAUAUAUUUUGAACCAAUUAGUUGUAUCUCAGUUUUUUUUUAAUGUAAUAUUAUUUUUUUAAGUUAAAAAAAUACUUCCUCUCGCAGUGGAGCACGGACACAUGUUCCAGGGUACAUUUUAUAAGAUAUGAUCCGAGGAUACGAUGUAGAUUUUGUUAAGGAGGUUGUGUAUUAAUUUGUUAAUAUGCAUACUGCCUACUUGUGGAACUGAGUUGCAUAGCUGAGUGGUACUUGCAGGUUCAAAUGGUUUGAAGAUUCUGAAACAUUAUUAAUUUGUGCUCAAACUCUUUGCAUUUCAGCAUCCUCUACUGGUUGGUGCAGGCCUUAACUAAACGAAAAGGUGAUUUUAUUGUAUCUCUUUUUAUAAAAUAUUAUUUUUUUAAACAGUUAUAUCCUUUAAAAUUAUAUUUAUUAAGAAUUGAAUUUUAUAACUUUUAUAAUUUAUUUAUUUACUUUAUCAAACUUCUGCUGCAUGAUCACAUGAUUCACAUCACGUGAAAAGCUUGGCAUUUAGUGAUGUUUUUCCAAUCAAACCCCCUUUUUUCAAAGAUGGAAUCUCGAGGUAAAUAAAUCAAAGACAAAACCGAGUAAAAUGGAGUCCUGAGCAUAACAAGGGCCGAGAGAGAAAAGGCUUUUGCGAGUUCUGUGUUUUGUAUACUUCUCAAGGGGAAAAAAUAAUGUUUUGUUAGAGAAUUGUUUUUGAUAGAAUUGUUAGAGAUCUUAGCCGAUGCAUCUGGAUUAUAAUUUUUUAGCAUUUAUACUAUUUUAUAGCGCUAAUAUCUUAAAAAACUUAUUUUCUAGCUUUUUUUUCAUGGUAUAAUGAAAUAUUAAAAAAUAUUCUUCAACUCAUUAUCCUUAUUACAAUUAAAUUUCAUAGAAUAGUCUAUUUGUUUAGAAAUAUAGUUUACUGUAUGAUUUAUUUGAUACAAAAAAUUCACUAGAAACUAAAAAAAGAAGAAGCUAAUCAUCAUUUAAAAAUAUAGAAUAUUGGAAUCAUCUUGCUCAAUAGGUGAGUUUGGGAGUUUGGUUGCUUAACAGGUGAGUGAAGGUUAAAUGUACCCAAUUAAAUCAUAUCUACAUUCAAUUAAAACUUAUGGUAUAAUUACUUGAUAGCAAAAUAAAGAAAAGUAGGAACCUGUAACAUCUAAGAAAUUUCUAUGCUCUUAAAAUUAAGCGUCCAAACUAAGGCUAUAAUGAGUCUUGAAUCUACACAGAAGAAAUUUCAUGGGAAAUGUAAUUUCAAAGACCAUGACUCAAAUCAGCGGCUAAAAUCCAAUCACUCAAGGGAUGGUGACAUGUUGCCUUGAGUGGGAGACAGCUGGUCUCUAGUACGAAGAGAAACAACAAUAUAAUUUUUUUUUUAUUAAAAGUGAGUGUAUGAGCUUCCAUGUAUUUUAAUUUAUUUUAUUAAUUUUAAAAUUAAUAAUUAUAUAAAUUUUUAGUAAUUCUAAAAAGAUUUGAAUUCAUAAUUAUUAAAAUAUAAAUAUAAAACCUAAUCAAUUAGUACCCCCACAGCAGUGUUUUCAUUGUUUAAAAUGGAGUGUUUGUUUUUCUUAGAGCUCGUUUGGGUACGCGUUUGCGUUCGCGUUUCUUCGAAAACGCAUGACAAUGCUGUUUGGUUACAGAUCGUUGAACAAUUAAAAUACAUGGGCCCCACCAUUUACCUGCGGCUGGAACACAAUUUUUUAAAAGCAGCAAGAUACUGCUUUUUUACGAGUUUCAACAAUAUUCACCAGCGAAUUGCACUGUUCACGUGACUUUCUUUCUUCUUCUUUUUUUAACAGUUUUUUUUUAUAAUUUUUUUUUUAAAAAAAAGUAGUUUAGAGUGAAUUAAAUUUACUUACAUUGUGAUGUGAGCAAUAUUUUUUUUCCCUGAAAAACUAGUAUAAAAUGAAUUAAAUUCACUCAAUUUUAUACCUGAUAAUGUUUUAUCUAAUUUUAUUACACGCUCACAAAAUUAUAAAAACUGUAGUUCUUAUUGGCUGAAUUUUAUACAUAUUGGAAUUAUAAAUAAUUUAAUGGAAUAAUAAAAAAUAUUUUAUAUAAAGUAUUAUUUAUUUCAUAAUGUAAUAGGAGUAGUUAAUUCUACAAUAUUUAAAUUUAAAACCAUCAAUAUUAAUAUAUAUUUUUUAAAAUUAUUUUAUAACCUCAAUUUCAAAAGCAUUAUUAACUAAACACAUUAAACUACUUUUUCUUCAACCUCAAUUUCAACCACAAUUUUAACCAAACAUCUAUUUUUUUAAACCAACCUCAACUAAAAGUACUUUUUAUAAAACAACUUUUUUCAAACCACAACCACAACAGCUACCGCAAUACCAAACAGACUCUUAGUGUUUUUGUUCUUGUCAUAGCUCAUGAUGGCGGGGGCUUAAAAAACAUUUAAAGAAAUUAUUUUUUCUUGUGAUUUAUUUGAUUUAAAUAAGUAUUUAAUUAAAAUUAUAAUUAAAAAUGUUGUUUAAUAAAAAAUAUUUUAAAAUAUUUAAUUAAAAUUAUAAUUAAAGAUAUAUUGUAACUAGAAUUACUAUAAAAAAAGAUCCUAGUGAAGGUGGAGAGGAUGAGAAUAAUGAUUGGAUAUCUUAAUAAUUGUAAAAAGAAAGUAUCUUUUUAUGGUGAAGUUAUCGGUAGAUGAGAAAAUACUGAGUUUUGUAGCUCAGAAAAAAACGUCAUUCAACUAAUAAAAUGAUCCAUCUACAUAAUAAUAAUAAAAAAAACCCGCCAUUCCCACGUGUGGAAGAUAAAAUUAAUCAACCUAAUCUUAUUGGAUUACAUUUUAUUAUUUAUAUCAAACAAUCAGUAUCCUUAAUACUGAUUAAGGAUAUUUUUGUUUUUGCACAACUAUACAUUUUAAUAUAAUAAUUUUUUUAAUCUAAUUUUUUAUUAUUAUUAUUUUAGUAUCAUUUUGUUAUUUCUAACAGUUUGCGUUUACAAGGUUAGUCUUGAAUUAUGACUAGAAUCAUCAAUUCUAAAUAGGAAUGUAAGUUGAUUUUUAUUAUUUUUUAAAAUUAAUUUAUUUAAAUUUUAUCAUUAAAUUUUUUUUUUCAUGAUUUCUUUUUAAGAGACUAACCCUUUAUCGACAAACACUAAUGUACUCUGAAAAACAUAAUCCUAUUGCAUCUUACGCUUUAAAUUCCAACAAGGAGUAGGAACCCUGCAUCUGGGAAAUUUUUACUAGGCCUCCAAUCUGAGGCUGUAAAGAGCUGAUGGGUUGAUGUCAGAGGUAGACAAGGAACCGUACUUUCAGAAGACCAUGACACAAAUCAACGGCUGGAAUCCAAUCACUCAAGGGAUGGUGUCAUGUUGCCACGAGUGAGAGACAGCUGGUCUCCAUCUGAAUGUUUAAAUAUGAUUGGGUAUCUUAGUAAUUGUAUAACAAUUGAUUUUUUUUUUUUAAAGUUGUCGGUGUGGAUGAAAAAUACUGAGUUUGUAGCUUAGUAAAAACAUGUUGAUGUUACUUUUUAUUAGCUCAUGGUUGGCCCAUAAAUUGUAAUAGGUCCCACAAUCACAAACCUACUAUUCACAUGUAAUUUAUGUCUUACAACUUGUUUUUUAAAUUAUUAUUUUUAUAUUUUUAUACCAUUUUUAUUUUAAAAAAUUUAAGUUUAAAAAAUAUUAUUUUAAUAUAUUUUUAAAUAAAAAAUAUUUUAAAAAACAAUAAUAUCUGAAUGUUUUAUAAAUUUUUACAAUCACUUUUACAUUUUUUUUAGAUCACAUUUGAGAAUGCAGUACACCACAAUAAAGUUUCGUUGUUGCUACAUGAUUAAAGGUAAGUAAUUGUCUUGCAUUUACCUUUAAAACUGCUAUCAAGAAUUAAUUAAUUGCGUCAAUUCAAUUAUUUCUAUUGACAUUGAUACCAAACAUGUUAAUUCAUGAUAUAAUUAAGCAAUUCAAUACAAAUUUACUAAUAUAAUUUAUUCCGGCGUAAAGCUUUGAAUAUAGCCAAAUGCAGAGGUUAUGCAAGUGAAAUACCUUAAUAAUUAAAUUAAAAAAAGAAAACAAAAUAUAAUGUAUAAAAUAUAAUAAUAUAAUUUAUAAUUUAUUUAUUUGCUUUAUCAGUGAAAAUUGAAAAGAGAUGGAAGGAGGGAGAGAGAAGAAAUAAAUUGAAGUCUUCUGCUGCCUGAAGAGCUUGGCUAGUGAUGUUUUUCGAUCAAACCCACUUUUUUCAAAGAUGGAAUUUCUCGGAAAAUGUGUGAUCCAGAGAAAAGCCUUUUGCGAGUUAUUAUGUUGCUGACACUGGAUAGAGACACUUCAACUAUCUUUUCAUUAUUUUGAGCGCAGUUGCCACCCACCUUUCUGUGGCUUCAUGCUCCUUCUCCAAACCAUUCAUAUAUAGUGCAGCCUGAGCUUUACUGGUUACGUUUCCUUUGAGGAUAAUUAUUGUUAAAUUAUUUUUUGUUUUAAAAUAUAUUAAAAUAAUAUUAUAUUUUUUAUAAUUUUAAUAUAAACACAUUAAAAUUAUUAAAAAAAUCAAUAAUUUAAUAUAUUUUUAAAUAAAAUAUAUUUUAAAAAAACAUACAUUACGAACUAUUCUCUCAAACACACAAUUUUAUUCCAUCUUAAAACUUGAGAUAUUAGAAUAGUCAAGUUCCCUCGUUAAAUUUACAAUUGUGGUAGUGGGAGUUGUAUAACUCAUUAAAAAAUAAAUUUUAUAUUAAAAUAAAAAUUUUAAAAAUAUAUUGAUUAAAAAUGUGAGGUGUUAUUCUGCAUUAUUAGCACAUCACGUGAAAAGAUAGAUUGGCAUAUAAUAAAAGCAAUCCCAAUCAAACCCAUUUUUUCGACGAUGGGAUCUCUUGGCAAAUAAAGCGAGGACAAACCGAGUAAAACAUGGGACCCAACUCCAUUUUCCUGGCACACGCAACUCACGCAUACACACACUCAUUUGAGAUAUUUUUUUUACUAUGGAGUUCAGGCAAAUAAAGUGAUGGAAGAAGGUCUUCUUCUGCGUGAAAAGCUUGGCAUUAAUGAAGUUUUUCCAUUCAAACCCACGCAUACACCCUGUAAUAUCUAGGAAAUUUCUCUGCUAUUUAAAUUAGGCGUACAAGCUGAGGCUGUAAUGAGCCCUUAAUCAACAUAGAAAAAAUUUCAUGAAAAUGGAUUAAUGUCAAAAAUAUAUUUCAAAAAAUCAUGACUCAAAUUAGUGAUUGAAAUCCAAUCACUUAAAAGAUGGUGACACGUUGUCAUGAGUGAGAGAUAACUGGUCACCAGUACAAAAAAAAACAGUAACGUUUUCAUUAUUUAAAAUGGAGUAUUUGUUUUGCUAAGUGUCUUUGUUAUCAUGAUAGCUCUUGUGGUGAUGGAUGUUUAAACAUGAUUGGACAUCUUAGUAAUUGUAAAAACAAUUUUUUUUUUUUUGGAUGAAGUUGUCGGUGGAUGAGAAAAUACUGAGUCUGUAGCUUAGUAAAAACAUGUUGAUGUUACUUUUUAUUAACUCAGGGUUGGCCCGUAAAUUAUAAUGGGUCCCACAAUCACAAACCUCUGAUUCACUUGUAAUUUAUGUUUUAUAACUUUUUUAUUUUAAAUUAUUAUUUUUUAUAUUUUUAUACCAUUUUUAUAUGAAAAAUAUUUUUUAAAAAAUAAAAAAUAUUAUUUUAAUAUAUCUUUAAAUAAAAAAUACUUUAAAAAACAAUAAUAUCAAACACCUAAAUGUUUUAUAAAUUCUCUACAUUCACUUUUACAUUUCUUUAGAUCACAUGAGAAUGCGGGACACCACAAUGAAGUCCGUGGUUGCUACAUGAUUAAAGGUAAAUGUCUUUUAAAACUGCUAUCAAGAAUUAAUUAAUUGCGUAAAUUCAAUUCUUUCUAUUGACAUUGAUGCCAAACAUGUUAAUUCAUGAUAUAAUUAAGCAAUUCAAUACAAAUUUACUAAUAUAAUUUAUUUCGGCUUAAACCUUUGAAUAAAGCAAAAUGCAGAGGUUGUGAAAGUGAAAUACCUCAAUAAUUUCUAUGCUUUACAACCCUAGGAGCCACACAAAAUAUAAUGCGUUUGUUACUAUUAAUUUAUUUAAAAAAUAAAUUAAAAUAUUUUUUAAUAUUUGAUUAUGUUAUAGAAAACGAGUCAAAAAAUAAUUUUUUAAUUUUUUUCUCAAGUUUAUUAAAAAAAUAAGAAACAAAUCUUACAAAUAAAAAUAUUGAAGGAGAAUGAAAUUGAAAAAUAUAUAUUUACAUAAAUUAUUUUAAAUAAAAUAAAUAACAAUCAUAAGAAUGAGAGCCAAAUAUGACAUAUAAAAAUAUUUAAUAAAAAAUAAAACAAUAAUAAAUAAAUAAAAUUAAUAUAAAAAUAAUACUAAACCAAGAAUUAAAUUAAAAAAAGAAAACAAAAUAUAAUGUAUAGUUUAUAAUUUAUUUAUUUGCUUUAUCAAUGAAAAGUGAUGGCAGGAGGGGAGAGAGAGGAAAUAAAGUCUGCUGCCUGAUCACAUCACGUGAAGAGCUUGGCAUUUAGUGAUGUUUUCCGAUCAAACCCACUUUUUUCAAAGAUGGAAUUUAUUGGAAAAUAAAUGAAAGACAAACCGAGUAAAAUGGAGUCCAGAGCAUACAAGAGCCGAGAUUGAAACAGGAAAUGCAAGAAAAAGAAGAUGGGCCCUUGUUUUCUCUUUUUACGGCCGGCGACCGGAUAUAAAAAGGAAGGAGAUGAAGCUUUCAAAUUAUUUAUAAUUUUGCGGUCACUUAUUGUGUCCAUGUCAUUUUGUGUAAUUGCCCAGCUACAAUUUAUAAAUGAUGUAAACUCUUAAUUUUUAAUCGAUGUAAAAUGUUGGAGUAUCAUGUUGCUGAAAAAAUCUUUUUAAGUGUAUAAUAUGUUGCAUUUGGGGCAAAAUUAAUAGUUUUGAAUGUUUUUAUUACCGAAACCUUUUUUUUUUCUCAACCUCUUUCUCUCUCUCUUCUUGUCAAAUACAAAAGUUUUUUUUUUUCAUUUUUUUAAAUGAUUUAAUUUUAAUUUUAUUUUAUUUUAUUUUUAUCUUUUGUAGAUUUGUAUUUUAUCGUUUGAUUUUAUUUAAUUGUUUUUAUUAAACAUGACCUUUAUUUACUUUAUUUAUUAUUUUUUUAAUUAAACGUUCUCUUAACAUUUAUUUUCAAUAUCAGAUUUAAUUAAUCAUAUUAAUCCUAUUUUAUCUUACACUUUAAAUUCCAACAAGUACCCGAUCCAACAAUAUCUGCAUUCACACUUGAGGGUCUAACUUAUUGGUCAACUGCAAGACUUGUCUUUGCGAACGUCUUGGGUUCGAUCCUCUUUGUGUACCCUGUCACCCCGCGGUGUCUUACCUGUUCACCGGGCUUGCAGGAUAUUCAGUGGACUCGAGGAUUAGUUGUGAUGCGCGCAAGCUGACCCGAACACCUCGGGUUAUAAAAAAAAAAAAAACAAUAUCUGCAUUCAAUUAAAACUUAUGGUACAGCGAAAAAAAAAAAAAAGAGUAGGAACCAACUAAGAAAUUUAUGUGCUGUUCCCAGCUAUGUUGCUGACACUGGACAGGAGAGACUUCUUCAACCACCGAUAAAAUUAUUUUUAUUAACUUUUUGUGCAAUUUGUUACUUUGUUUCGAUCUUUCUCUCUUUGCACCACAAACACUUGGACACGGUAGAAACCAAGCACGGUUUUUCUGUCAAUGUACGAUACCGUAUUUAACAAUAUCUUUUUAUUUUUAUUUUAUGAAGAGUAGUAUGUUGGUGAUCUAUGUAUGUUUUUUUUAAAAAUCACAUAUAUAUUUAUCUAAAAUUAUUGAUAUUUAAAAAAUUACAUUAUUUUUUUAAUGACUCCUUCCACUGUUCUUGUAGAAUUAAGCAAAUAUUAUGCAAAGCUUCAAGUUUUGUGUAAUUGUUUUUAAUACAAGAGAGUUUAACCAUUUUAAAAUGUUUAAUGAGUUCUUUAAAAUAUUGAAAGUAAUGUACAAAAACUAAUUUAUAAUUUUAUUACAGAUCGUGCUUUAUUAUAGGUCAAGUCAAGUUUUUCUUAAGAAUAAAAAAUUAUUUAAAUUAUGAAUGUUUUAAUUUAUUCUGGUAAAAAAAAUUUAAAUCAUGAUGUGAUCUAACUUGAUUGAAUUUGUAGUUCACAAAACAACCUAGAUAACAAAUAAAAAUAUAAUUUAACUUAUAAAUUUUUUCAAGAUUACAUAUAUUUUUUUAAUAUUAAGAUAAUAACAAAUUAAAUUGAUUUGGAUAAACUCAAUUUAACUUAUUAAAUUCAUAACCCGUGUUAUGAGACUAUGAUAAACCUGUAAAAAACAAAUUAUUAAGUUUAAUUCUCAACCACCAAAUAUUAAAAGAUAAAAUUAAAAUAAAUAAAUAAACCAUGUGGAGAUUAACUCAAUAUGACUUAAUUGAUUUAGCUUGUUCAAAAACAACCAAGAUAAUCACUAGAAAUAUAAUCUGACUUGGAAAAAAUUUCAAGAUGAUAUUUUUUUUUAAUAUAAAGAUAACAAAGUAAUAGAUCGAAUUGGGUUAAGCAGAGUUAGCUUGUUAAAUUUUUUAUUUGGGUAUGAGACUAUGAAAUCUAAUUCCUAAGCAACCAAAUAUUGAAUGGUAUAAUUAAAAAAAUAAUCAAUUAAAAAAAUGAUUUAAAAAUAUGAACGGAGUUAACAUGUCAAGUCCAUAACCUAUCUUAUAAUAAAGAUAUAAUCUUAUAAAAAAAAUCAAAAUAAAUUAUGAAAUUCAAUCUUAAACAGCUAAAUUUUAAAAGAUAAAAUUUUAAAAAAAUAAUUUUAAAAAGAACAUAAAAAUGACCUAAGUAAAUCCCCCAAACCCAUAGCUUAUUAAGAGAUCGUGAUAAUCUUGUAAAAAAAAAAUUACAUGAUUUAACUCGUUAAAUUUAUGACUUUGGUUACAAUACCGAGACAACCUCUUAAAGAGUAAAUAAAAAUAAAUUGAAAAGUGCAAUCCCUAAUUGACCAUGUCAAACCCGAUGUGAACGAUGCAAUUUUUAAAAUUUUGAAUUAAAAAAUAACAUAAAAAAUAAUUUAGGUUAACCCAUUAAGCAUCAUUCUUAGAUUACGAGACCAGGAUAACAUAAUAAAAAUAAAAUCAAAACAAACCACAAAGUCUAAUUCCUAAUAAAACAUUAUUAAAUAAUAAAAUUGAAAAAAAAAAAGUUAAUUAAAAGAAAUUUGAGUCAAUUAGGCUAACUUGCUAAGCCUGCAAGUUAGGUUAUGAAACAUAAAUAACUCAAUAAAAAACAAAUUUACUAUUGAAGGACUAGUGACGCAGGUCAUGAAAUAAAGAUAACCUUUUACAAACAAAAUUAAAAAACAACUCAAUUUAAUUUGGAUUAAAAUGUCAAAACCUUCGUCUCUAAUCAUGAGACUAGGAUAACCAUGUAGAAAAUAAUUUGAAAUAGAUUAUGAAGUUUCAUUCUCAACUGACCUGAUAUCGAAUGAUAAAGUUGGAAAAAAAUUCAAUUAAAAAAAUAUAAAAUACAACCUGAGUCAACUGAGGUUAACCUGUUAAGUAUUAUUUCCGGGUUACGAGGUUAGAAUAAUCUAAUAUAAAUUAAACAAAACAAAACAUGAAACUUAAUUUUUAAUUAAAAGAUAAAAUUGUAAAAAAAAGUUAAUAAAAAAAAAUCAAGUUAACUUUUUGUUAUAAAAGUGAGACAACUUAAUAAAAAAAAUUAAUAUUAAAAUAAAAAAAAUCAUUAAAAAAUACUCAUUCAAAUAAUUGUAUAAAACAUAAUAAUAUAAACUAUAAUUUAUGAUUUAUUUAUUUAUUUUAGUAUUUAGUGAAGUCUUUUCAAUCAAACCCUUUUUUAAAAAGAUAUAAUUUCUAGGAAAAUAAAUUAAAGACAAACCGUGUAAAAUUCUAAAAGAAAAUAAAGAUGGGAUAUUGUUUCAGUUGCGGCUUGGAUACGUGUUUCAAAAAUAUUUUUAAAAAAAAUAUAUUUUUUUAAUUUUAAAUUAAUAAAUUUUUAGUUUUUUUAGAUCUUUUAAUAUAUUAAUAUUAAAAAUAAUUUAUAAAAAAUAAAAAUAUUUUAUUUUAAUAUAUUUUUAAAUAAAAAACAAUAAGAGACAACCGUGACCACUUAAAUGAAGCAUACCAAGUUGAGAGUUGAGGAGCCGAGAGAGAAAAAGCUUUUGCCAGUUCUUUACGCAAAUUCUUUCCCCUUCUGUCACCUGAACAAAAUCCCCUCUUCUUCUUCUUCUUCUUCUUCUUGUUUGUUUACUCUUCCUUCGUUACUUUGCAAAGAGGAGAAACCAUGGCCGGGGCUUUAGUAGGAGGAGCUUUUCUUUCUUCUUUCCUUAAUGUUUUGUUCGACAGGAUGGCCUCUCCCCAGGUGGUGGCCUUCUUCAGAGGGAAAAAAGUCAACGAUAGUAAUCUGCUGCAGAAGUUGAAGACAACAAUGACAUCUCUCAGGGUGGUGCUUGACGAUGCUGAGGAGAAGCAGAUAACAAGUUCAGCUGUGCGGGAUUGGCUGGCCGAGCUUAAAGACGCUGUCUAUAAAGCCGACGACUUCUUGGAUGAGAUUGCUUAUGAAGCUCUACGGCAGGAGUUGGAAGCUGAAGAUCAAACCUUCACAAGUCAGACGCAGAAGCUUCUUUCUUUCAUUAACCCACUUGAAAUAUUGGGGUCGAGAGAGAUCGAAGAAAAAUUAAAAGUCCUCUUGCAGGAUCUAGAUCCCUUAGUUGAACGAAUGGCAGCCCUUGGUUUGAACAACCGCAAUGUAGAAAAUCCACCAUCGCAUAGAACACCAACAACUUCUCUCGUGGAUGAAUCUGGUGUUUAUGGUAGAGAUGAUGACAGGGAAGCAAUACUGAAGUUGCUUCUAUCAGAGGAUGCAAAUGGAGAAAACCCUGGUGUCGUCCCCAUUAGGGGAAUGGGCGGGGUUGGUAAAACCACGCUUGCUCAGCUUGCUUCCAUUCUCUCCUUUUCUCCUUAUCCGCAUCUUCAAAAAUUCAAAAUCUUUUCCCCACCUCUUUCUCUAAUCUAUUCCCCUUCUCCAAAAAUUCAAAAUCCAAAAACUUUUGAUUUAUUUAUUUUAUUAUCACUUAACUUUGAUUAAAAAACUUUUCUUGAAGUUUACUUCCAUCAAAGAUCUUUUAUAGAUAUAAAAAGAAGAGAUAAUAUAAAAUUCAUCCGCGUAUUGGAAUCACAAUUCAGAAUCAAGUUAAAGCGGCCAAUGUCACUCGAGAGAGUAGGCACUUGCAAAUCUGCUAAUAAUUAUUGGAGCAUCACCCUUCCGCACAAUCAACAGAAAGUCAUCAUCUUGAGAACCCACAGCAAAGAGUUCAUUUUUUUGCAGUAGAUACGUAGCUAUAUUAACAACGAUACUUCCAGCAUGCACAAAUGGGACUUCUUGAUGGUUACGCUGCUAAAGACAUUUACAAAUCCCCAUCAAUACUGGUGUUUAUUCCUCAUGAUGAUCCAGUGAGCUGACAAUAAAAGAAAACCUCGGCAUUACUAGUAAAUCGUCACUGCAAGCAUGGAAGAGAUUCAGGUAGGAAUUACCCUUGUCUUCAUUGAGAGGCUUUAACCUCCCUUGUCAGCAGGCCCAUGGUUCGAUGCAUCCUCUGAAGCGUCUAAGCAAGGAUUGCUUUUACACUGACUUACAGGCUGAGAAAGUUGGGACCCCUUUUGCGAAAAGUUUGGUUUACCUUUCGGAGUCUCAGACAGGCUUCCCGUUGACAGCUUUGCUAGGCCCAUUGUCUUGUGCUCACGCGGGAGCUUUGUUGAAAAAGGUGAUUCAGGUGUAUCAGGAUGCUUCCCAGGAAUAUCCAUCGGUCUAUGAAACAGCAAAUGAGCCACAGUCCGGUCUACCGGAUUGGUCUCUGUUUCCACCUCAGGCAUCUUAACCACCCUGCAGUAUACUCAUAAAAUCCAUGAGGAAAAUGACAGGAAACUUUGAGAUUGCCAUACUCUAAACAAAUUGAUAAAGACUUGAUUAAUAAUUUUGUGCAAACAAAUUGAAUGAUUUGAAAUGGGAAGGACGAGAUGUAAAGGAACAAACCCAUUGGAACAAGAAACAAUCACAUUGUCGCUUACAACAAAAAAUCGAGUUUCAGAUCAAAACAGCUUAUGGUUUUGGCUGGAAGUGUCCCAUUUAGACAUUGAUGAGCCGAUUAGAAGAUGAUUUGAGUUCUUAAAUUUCUUGCUUAAAAUGUAAUGUAUCAUGAUUCUGCAGAUGAUCAUUAAAUUAGAAGGGAAAUUUAAUUUUGCCCUGUUUAUCUAAAGUUGUGCAAGUUCUCUGCAUUGAUGAUUCCAGUGAAUUUGUACAGAUCUUGUUUUCCUUCUAUUUGUCCUUGAAUAAACUUAUUGCACUUGUUGAACAAUCUUUGUUUCUCUCUCUUAGUUAAAUCUAGUAAAAUUUAUCAUGUAUGUUGUGCCACUCAUUUAGACUUGGAUGUGCGUGUUUAGCUCUUCUUUUCGGAUUAAGGUGAUUAUGCACAAAUUCACUGGAAUCAACAUUGCAGAAAACUUGCAUAGAUUUUGUUAAUAUUGGAAAAAUUAAAUUCGUUUUCUAAUUAAAUGAAAAUCUCUCCUAAAUAUUAUGCUAUUUGAAUUGUCACCUCAUGACUACUUGCUGCACUGCACUCAUGAAUGCUGCACCAGGGUAAAGCUACAAAUGUCAGUUUAAUAUCUGCCUCUACCUAGGUUGGCCUACAUACAAUACCAAAGCUUCUCUCAACUAAAUCAAGACAUGAUGACCAGCACUCACAAUCAUAACAGAACCAGUGGAAGCGAACUACUACAUAUUUGAUCAACAAGGUCAAAUUCAGUCAAGUUUUUAAGGAAAUCCAGUGAAAGAGGAACCUAAAAUUUUCUGUUUAGAUUUUCUUCUACUUCUAAGAACAAGCGCUGCCUUAAUUGAAUUGUUUCAGUCACUAUUCCUCCAUUGUAAAUAGAGGAUACCGUUUUCAAUAUUUAUUUCCAGAGUGAGAAUGGAAAACAGAAAAUGGUGAUGGCAUUAAAAGAUCCUAAUUUAACAUUUCCAUAGAGCAAAAAUGUUUUUUAAAAAAGAGAGAGGAUAGAUUAAAUUUGAAAACAGAAGCAUGAGAAAUGCAUUACCUUAACCAACCUUCUUUGACUACUAUUGUUUGUACUGCCAGUAUCACUAGCAUAAUGCCUUUGCAUUGCACUUUGAGCCAGCCGGAACAAGCUAUCCCGAAUACAAAGUCUAAUUCUGACAUCCAACUGUUGUAAAACAUUGGUUUGGAAUCGUAACCAAGCACAAAUUAUUUAGCAGGGAAAGAAUGCAAUAGUAGGUGAAGCAUACCUUUGAAAUAAUAUCUUGAAGCCUGUAGAGUACUGUGUCCUCCAUUGAAUAAUCAUUAACCGCCAGAGAGACUGUAUUGGAAUCGUCUUGCUCAAUAGGUGAGUUUGGGUCAAAUGAAGCAAGUGUACUUAGAUCCUCUACUUCAAGGUCAGCUCCUUCAACAUGCUGAAUUUGAUUUUCUUGGGAACACUUUUGAUGAACAAGCUGCUGCUGCUGUUUCUGAAUGGCAAGCAUUGCCUGAAUUUGUUGCCGCCUCCUUAAUUUUUCAAUCUUUUCCUGAGGUGUCAUUCUCUGGGGUUUCACUGGACAGUCAGCUAACUUGUUUAUAGGAUUUGCAUUGCCUGAAACUUCAUAACCAGAAAUUUUAGGUCGAUGAUUAAAUGACUAGAAAUUUUGUUGGAAAGUCAGAAAACUUUAACAGGAUUCGCAUUACCUGAAGAAACUUCAUAACCAGAAGCUAAAGGUUGAUGCUUAAAAUCCCCAGACUGAAUGUGGGACAACCCAGGCAUAGAAUAUGGAUUUGUAAUACUCCCGUAGGCAGAAGGGGCCACAAAUGGAUUGGAUAUCUGCUGGUACUGCAACUGCUCGGAACCCUGUAGCUGCUUCUGUUGGCUGAGAAUUGAAGGGGGAGAAGAUUGCAUAAUUUGGGGUUCUAAAUGAUCCUUAAGUUGACAGGCUGGGAUUCCAGAUGAAGUCCAGUUUCCAUAAAAAUCUUGGUAUGAUUUCAGUUCACCUUUUUCUUCCAGUUUUUCCCGACCUUUCAAGAUCUUCUUUUGCCUGUAAGUCUGAUCACAGAACUAUAAACAUAUAAAUAGACAAAUUACUUAGAAUAGAUCAACGUUUUAACCAUCUAGACCUGCAGGGGAGAGUGACUAAGGCACAGUUAGUAUUUUAACUCAGUACAUGGUUUGUAAGGAUAAAUUCAAUGUUAUUUUUUUUUUUUAAUUGUAACUUACGAUCCAAAGGGCUUCUAUUGUUCAGAAUAUAUUGAGGUAUUAGCUAAACUAUGCCAAGCAAACAGAAUUUGCAUGUCCCUGGGAAGAGUGGGUGUCAUACUAGAAAUAUAAAUUACUGAUGCCUCCUGAAUUUUGACAUGCUAUUCCUUUCUCCUUCCUACUAACAGAAAACCAGACAAUGGCUUUACUUUAGGCAAUCGAUAUCAUGGUUAAGUCAUGGAUUUGACAUCAAGGAUAACUUAAUUGAUGCAUUAUUGAAGUGAUGACUAAAUCAUGUAAAUCCAUAUUCACCCAACAUCCAAGUUUAAUCUCAUUCCAAAAAAUAAAACUAAUAGCAUGAAUUAUGAAGAGACGAAGAGGAAUUUAAAUAAUAUAAUUUCUCUUUUCUGUCGCCAUUUUCCAUUCCAGAGAAGUACUCAGGAAGUCUUAAUAAGUUCAAGUGUAAGGUAACUUUUACCCUUCCCAGCUCUAAUUAGGUUUCGCUGUCCCUCCAAUCUAAUUUAAGAUCUAAUAUGAGGAAACCACACUGUAUUAGUGAAAGGAUCACAAUAUCAAGAUUUUCCAACUUCAAUUCACUGAUAUAACUUUUCUUGAAUCCUGGACAAAAGAACUUAGAACAUCAAAAGAUCAUAGCAGGAUUCUAAAAAACAAAGAUUGUAUUUGGUGCCUAUUGAGUCUAAAAGUUAUCUUGGAUGAAAAGGGUAAAAAUCAGUAAUAUGUCUGGUUCAGUAUCAAGAUUUUGAAAAUAUCAAAAGGAAGAAAAAAAAAGGUACCUUGUUUGCUAAUUCAUUUGGAAAAGCACCAUUUUCCUCUGUCAGUUGAGAGUUAGCCGCCGUGUUCUUUCCCACAACAGCCAAAUCUGUCUGCAAAAGCACAAAAAAAUAAAAUAAAAAAUGCUAAGCUUCUCUCAGCUCCUGCACUUGAGCAUGGGGCAUUAAUAAGUGAACUCAUUACUGAAAAUUGAGUCGCUAUACCUGCUCCUUCAGUAUAGGCUUGUUUUUACCUUCAUCAUAUUCUACAUGAUCAAGGCUUGCCUGAGUAUUCUGCAGACCAUGAGAUGCAGGGUCGUUCAUUUUUCCAUAGCCAAGGGCAAACAGCUGGUCCUCUUCUCUCGAAGCCACAGAUAUUGGAAAGGGCUUUACCGGGCUGUUAGUUGUACAUUUUGAAGAAGACCAUAGCUCAUCAGCAUUACCAAGAUUUACAUUGCCAAAUAUUGGGUCAUCAUUGCUGCAAAAUCACCACUUGUGAGGAUAUUGAGUCAGAUGGUUAUCACUGUUCUCCAACAGAAUCAAGAUAAAAUAUAAGAACAUUAGUGAAGAACAGAAAUGCAGGAAAGCCCUUCCACAAUUGAACAAGCUCACCAAUUCCUUACAAAUCCAGUGCUGCUAUAUUACAUUCUUUCUGCCAUUUAUACUUGUAAUUGAGGAUAUUGUGCUGCUAAAAACUCGCAUCCUUCAGGUUCUUUUCACAAUUAACAAAAUUAAGCCAGGAUCAAAAACCAUAAAUUUUCAAACAACUAGUCUUUUUUGUUAGUGUUGCUUUCAGCAGACAGCACUUGUUUGGAAAAGGAUAUAGAUCCAAAACAGAAGAAACUACAAUUAUUAAAAGAGUCUGGUUGUUUUUCCUUCACAACAACACUCUUGUAGUACAUGAUUUUUUUCUUCUGAAAUGAAAAUAGGCAGUGAGCAUAAUUAUUUUGUCCGCGAAACUUUCACUUCACAGUCAGUAAUAAGAAUUUGUUCAAAUUAUCAGAAUAAUGAGAUGUACAAGCUUCCAUAUCAGGGUGCUGCUGACCAUCUUUCAUUUAGGUGCAGAAAGUAAGAAAUGGUAACUGUGCUUUACCUAAAAAUUCGAUCAAGAUCAUCAAAGCUUCCAAUGCUAGCCCAGCCAUAAUCAACAAAAUCACCUUGCUCUUCACCUUCAUGAGGAUUUUGAAAAAUCUCAGUGUCCUUAUCAAGAUGAUCUGUCUCUGCGUUUUAAAAAAAAGAAUUAGAAUGACAGUAGCAUGUAAGAUACUAUGCUAUGAAAACAUCAUGCAACUCGUCACCCUAUCUACAUUUUUUCCUUGUAAUUGAAAUCUCAUCACCUGCUGAUGAAUCGAGUUUGGUAAUCUCAGUUAGAUUGUUAGAGAUUGAAGUUUCCAAGGAAUCCUGCUCAGUUUUGGCAGCAUUACGUGAGGACAAGUUAGGCCAUCGGUCCAUGUCAAGUCCUAAGGAAGAAGUUCCUUCACUUGUGUCAACAUUCGAAAUGCUCUCCAGCUUUCUGCCAUCAGUAUCAACUUUAGCCCCGGGUGCCUUCUGCUCACUAGAUUUAAUGGUGCUAGCUUCUUCACUCGAUUCCUUUUUCUUGCAAUAAUCUUCACUUGCCUCUGGAUAUGGCACGAUAUGGUCAUCACUAUCUUCAGCCUCACCCCAUAUUAUGUUCGUAAGCUGAAAAGAUAGUGAGUAAGCAUCAUCACUAAAUGUGGGAUACAUGAGAAGAAUGAAACAGUCACAAGUUAAUCUCUGGGUAACUUGGCAAGACUAUUUUCCCCAACAUAAUAUUCUGAAUAAUACACUAAUUAAUCAGUUCAGUUCCUUGUAAGGUGUGCGUGGGCACAUAUGAGCACACAUGUGUGUACGAGAGUUGCUAGUGUCAAUGAGUUGGGAACAAAAUAUUUAAUUGAGUCAUGCAGAAAAUACUAAAAUGUUCUAAAUUGUGUUAAAAAUAAAAUAGAAAGUAGAAGCCAUUGGCAUGAUUCAUUUAAAAAUUUCUACAAAAUUAAAAAAAGAAAACAAAACAAAAGGAGGAGAUGGCCCAAAGCAUGCUCUCAAUAAGAUGAAGUAAGACCUAAAGCUUCAUUGCAUGUACAGAGCACUUUGGAAACUUCAGUCUGGACAAAUAAAACCAAGGCAAAGUAUCUUCUUUUUGGAACUAAUUUCUUCACAGUAAGAUAUAACAUCCAACGCUACCUGCAUCACUUUCUCAUGGUCCUCUCUGACUCGAGUGAUCAUAAACCUUCUCAAAUCCCAUUUAAAGAAGAUUCCCUUUCUCACUUUUCGUUGGUAUUAUUUGACACCAAGAUCACAACCAAACAUUACCAAUAAGUGUGUCACCGGAGAAAGAAACUUAGGUGCCCUAAUACCAUAAAUAAAACCUAUUCAAUAAAAAUUAGACAAUAUUUUAUAGCUGUACAUCUAUAAUCAAAGUAAAAUGCCCAAAACUCUGAAUCCUGAAUAUGUGAAUCAAAGUAAAAGGCCCUAACUGAUGCACCAUCAGCAGUCUCCUACUUUGACUUGUGAUUAAUGACCUAGCAGUUCACUUCAACAACAUUAGUGAACAUAAGUUUGAAUUUCAGACCCAGCAAGAAGAAGUACAUUUUCCAGUAGGCAUGCAUAUCACCUUUUUAUCAAUAUCCAUGGAAGACAAACCAAGCAAUAUCAAGUUUUUUUCUGCUGGAUAUCCAAUAAAAAAUACCUCAUAGUGUGAACAUCUUUAAGAAGGAGGAUAUCACAUUGCACCCCAUCAACUGAUCCACAAAUAAAUUUGCAUCUUUCCAUCAGUUCCAAGCUCUUUGUAAGGAAAAGGGAGGGAAGUGCCUUCAAAGAUACCUUCUUCAUAGCUUCUUUAGAUAUGAAUCCACACGGCUUUCGUAAUCACCAAUCACUAUGCGCAGCUUCUCUUAUCAUCACAAGCUCCAUCUCUUUCCACGUCCUAACUUCAUUCGAUGAACUCUUCCCUCAGUUCCCAAGAAAAAUUAUAUUCAUCCCUCCUGCAGCCUUUUCCCUGCAUAUUUCCACCAGCUUCAUAGCUAUAUGGCCUGUGAAAACUGUCGUUGUUGCAGUGAUUCUGAACAACAAAAAUAACAAAGGAUAAUGCUUGUGUUUAAGAAGAGAUUGAUGAAUGAAAAGCUUAAAUACUUUAUUCAUAACUGCAGCUCAAUUUAUAGAGCUGAUACAUAACAAACUCCUACGAUCAUGGUCCUACAUUCAAGCCAUGAUCAAUUGAUAAUGGAAAUAACAGAGCUGCGAAAUAGCAGCAAGAACAAGAGAAUAGGAACAGAAUUGACUAAAUCAAAAAUUAAAGAAAGAAUAAAAUUCCAGCUCAGCAGUCCUGAACAUUAUUUCUAACACUCCUCCUUGUUUAGGAGCUGCAAACUCCCAACUUUGUUCUCAGAAAUUCGAAUUUGUUGACUGGCAGUGGUUUGGUGAAAAUAUCAGCUGCUUGUUCUUCAGUUUUGCAGUAAAUAAGAAUGAUACUCCAAUCUUUCUGCACCUCUCUCAAAAAGAAUAAUUUGAUGUUGAAGUGCUUGGUUUUCCCGUGAAACACAGGAUUAUUAGAGAUGGAAAUGGCAGCUUGAUUGUCAACUAGAAUUUCUGUGCUUUCCUUUUGCUCCAGGUUAAGAUCAGAUAAAAUUUUCCUCAGCCACAAAGCUUGAUUGACAGCAGCUGUUGCAGCCACAAACUCAGCUUCAGCAGUGGAUUGGGCUACGGUUUCUUGCUUUUUUGAAUUCCAUGAAAACACACCAGAACCUAAAGAGAAACAGUAGCCUGAUGUGCUCUUCAAGUCAUCAAUUGAGCCUCCCCAAUCACUGUCAGAGUACCCGACCAGUUUGAACUCUCUACUUCUUGUGUAUCUUAUGCCAAAAUUGCAGGUUCCUUUGACAUAUCUUAUCACUCUUUUAGCAGCCUUGAAAUGCAAUUCACUAGCACAAUGCAUGAAUCUAGACAAGAUACUCACAGCAUUCAAAAUAUCAGGCCUAGUUGCAGUGAGAUACAUCAAGCAUCCAACAAUUUUUCUGAAUUGUGCUUGAUCAACCUUCUCGGCUCCAUCUUCUUUACAUAGCUUCUCCUUUUGAUUCAUAGGAGUGCUUACUGCUUUGCAAUCUUCAAGUUUGAACUUUUUGAGGAUUUCUUUGGCAUACUUCUUCUGACAUAUGAACACUUCAUGUUCAGCUUGCUUAACUUCCAUUCCAAGAAAAAAGGACAUCAAACCCAAAUCUGUCAUCUCAAAUACACUCAUCAUCUCUUGCUUGAACGUCUCCACAUUAUUGUUGUUAUUUCCUGUUACAAGCAAAUCAUCAACGUAAAGUGAGAUGAUAAGGAUGUUAUCACCAUUUUGCUUGAUGUAAAGAGUCGAUUCAGAGAGGCUUUUAGUGAAUCCCAAGUGCUGCAAAUGUUCAUCGAUUCGGCUGUACCAAGCUCUUGGAGCUUGCUUCAAUCCAUAUAGUGCCUUCUUAAGAAGACAGACUUUGUCCUCCUCUCCUUCAUUUGCAAAGCCUUCUGGUUGCUCAGUAUAGAUCUCCUCCUGCAAAACACCAUUUAAAAACGCUGACUUGACGUCCAUUUGAUACACCUUCCAAUUCAGUUGUGCUGCAAUGGCAAGUAGCAGCCUGAUAGUGUCAAGUCUUGCUACCGGUGCAAACGUGUCUGAGUAGUCCACGCCAAAGAUUUGUGCAUAACCCUUCACCACUAGCCUGGCUUUGAGCUUAUUGAUUGAGCCAUCAGCGUUGAGUUUUGUUCGAUACACCCAUUUUACACCGAUUACAUUUCUGUUUUGAGGUCUGUCAACCAACUCCCACGUGUUGUUUCUCGUGAUCAUGAGAAGCUCCUCCUUCAUCGCAGCAAGCCAAUUUUGAUCUAGCUUGGCUUCUUCAAAGUCUGCUGGUUCACACACAGCAAUGUUGCACCUUUGAUACACAUCAAGGAGUGACCGUGUGCCUCUAACAGGAGUGUCAUCUGUCAUGUUGAUGUCCCAAUCUUCCAUGCUUUGAUCAUCUGUGUCUGAAACAAGAUAAUUGCCUUUUGGAGAGGCUGAAUCUUCUUUGAUUGCAUCGUUCCAAUCCCAUUCUUCAUCUUCCAGGAAUUGGACAUCUCUGCUUAUAACGAUUUUUCCAGUUUGUGGCUGGAAAAUCUUAUAAGCCUUUGAAACUAAGCUGUAGCCAACAAAAAUGCCUGGAAGUGCUUUCUUGUCAAGUUUAUCCCUCUUGACCUGUGGAACAAGGGUGAAGCACAAACAUCCAAAUACCUUAAGAAAAUUCAGAGAUGGUUUGUAACCAUACCAUGCCUCAAAGGGUGUUUGAUCCUUCAAGGCUCUUGUAGGCAGUCGAUUUUGCAAGAACACAGCAGUGUUUGCAGCCUCUGCCCAGAAUUUCUUUGGUAAAUUCUUCUCAUGUAGCAAGCAUCUUGUCAUUUCCAAUAUGAACUUGUUUCGCCUCUCACUAACUCCGUUUUGCUGAGGAGUAUACGGAGUUGUUAGCUGAUGAUGAAUGCCUGCCUCCUCACAAAAAACGUUGAAGGCAUUGGAAGUGUAUUCCUUGCCAUUGUCUGAUCUGAGGGCUUGAAUUUUGCAGCCACUUUCAUUUUCAACUUUGGCCUUGAAAUUCCAGAACACCUGUGCUACCUCUGACUUGUGCUUCAAGAAGAAAAUCCAGCACAUUCGGCUGUAAUCGUCAAUGAAGACAGCAUAAUACAGACUCCCAUUUAGAGAGAGUGUCCUUUGUGGUCCUGCAAUGUCAGUAUGAAUCAAUUGCAGCUUCCUUGUUGCUCUCCAUGUGGCUUCUGGAAAGGGCUUCCUGUUUAGCUUGCCAGUGUGACAAGUUCUGCAGCUGGAUAUGUGAUCAUCAAGUGCUGGGAAAUCCUUAGCCAUCAUCUUGGAUUUCAUAAGCAUCAGCCCUCUAUGAUGAUAGUGCCCGAGCCUCUUGUGCCAAAUAUCUGUGAUAUUUUCUUUAAUUGGGAAAGCAGUAUGCUCCUCCUCCAAUGGAUUUAGAGCAAAACUCUUCCCUUUCAUGAUUAUUUUGAAAAUAUCAUGACCAUUCACAUCUUUGAUCAAGCAGCAAUUGUUUUCAAACACUACUUUAUAACCCUUCUCAAUAAGCUGACCAACACUGAAUAAAUUUUGAUUUAUACCAGGGACAUACAAUACAUCAGAGAUGAACUUAGUACCUGAGCAAGUCAAGAUUGCCACGGUUCCCUUUCCUUCAACAACAAGGUAUUCUCCAUUUCCAAUUCGAACCUUUGAAGUUGUUUGUUUCAGCUCCUUGAAUAUGUUUCUGUCAUGUGUCAUGUGGUUGGUGCAACCACUAUCAAUGAGCCAGCUUUCACUUGAGUCAUUUCUGGAAAUGCAAGUGGCCACAAACAAUUGAUCUUCUUCUUCUUGAUCAGCAAUUUGAGCUUCUUCACCAUGCUGUUGAAUUUUGUUUUUGCAGAUGACAGCCUCGUGCCCCAUUUGAUUGCAUUUGUUGCACUUAGCUUCUGGUCUUCUCCAACACUUAAAAUGUGGAUGUGAUCUCCUUUUACAAUGCUGGCAUGGAGGAAAAGGUCCUUUUUUGUUUCCAGUGUUGCUCCUUGUUGAAAUUCCUGGAAUCACCUGAUGAUGCUUGACUGCUUCCAUUCUUCUUGUAAUUCUUUCCUUUUUCUCUAUGCUUGACGAAUAGAGCUCCUUCAAUCUCAUCUUCCUGUCUCAUGAUCCUCCUUUGCUCCUGAGCUUGUAAUGCAUUUAGCAUUUCUGUCAAAGUAAUUUUUGACAUAUCCUUGGUAUUUUCCAAGGAUGUAAUUGUAGCUUCAAAGAUUUCAGGAAUUGUUACAAGAAUUUUUUGAACAAUUCUUGACUCAGGCAGGGACGAGCCAAGUAAACUGAUUCGGCUUGCAAUAUUAAGCAGCCUGUCAGAGUACUCUUUGAUGGAUUCAGUCUUCUUCAUCUUCUGCAACUCGAAAUCACGCAUCAAGUUCAACACUUGCAUACCUUGAAUUCUUUCAUCCCCUUCAUACUCAGUCUUGAGAAACUCCCAUAUCUCCUUUGCUGUUUUCAGAGACAUGAUUCGAGUGAAAAUGGUGGAUGCUACUACAGCAAACAAGCACGCCUUUGCCUUUGAUUUUUUUGUCUUCUUCUCCUUCUGUGAUUUGAUCUGCACCAUGGUGGGAUUGUUUGGAAGUGCAGGGAUUUCAUAAUCUUCUUCCACUGCCUCCCACAAAUCCAAAGCCUCUAAGUAUGUCUCUAUCCGUACUGCCCAAAACUGGUAAUUGUCACCAUUGAACACUGGUGGAGCAAUUGAUGAGAAGCUUACUUCUGUCUCCAUGGGUUACAACACAGAUCCCUUUAAAUCAAGAUGCUCUGAUACCAAUUGUCGUUGUUGCAGUGAUUCUGAACAACAAAAAUAACAAAGGAUAAUGCUUGUGUUUAAGAAGAGAUUGAUGAAUGAAAAGCUUAAAUACUUUAUUCAUAACUGCAGCUCAAUUUAUAGAGCUGAUACAUAACAAACUCCUACGAUCAUGGUCCUACAUUCAAGCCAUGAUCAAUUGAUAAUGGAAAUAACAGAGCUGCGAAAUAGCAGCAAGAACAAGAGAAUAGGAACAGAAUUGACUAAAUCAAAAAUUAAAGAAAGAAUAAAAUUCCAGCUCAGCAGUCCUGAACAGUAUUUCUAAUUUCUGCUGGAUAUCCAAUAAAAAAUACCUCAUAGUGUGAACAUCUUUAAGAAGGAGGAUAUCACAUUGCACCCCAUCAACUGAUCCACAAAUAAAUUUGCAUCUUUCCAUCAGUUCCAAGCUACUUUGUAAGGAAAAGGGAGGGAAGUGCCUUCAAAGAUACCUUCUUCAUAGCUUCUUUAGAUAUGAAUCCACACGGCUUUCGUAAUCACCAAUCACUAUGCACAGCUUCUCUUAUCAUCACAAGCUCCAUCUCUUUCCACGUCCUAACUUCAUUCGAUGAACUCUUCCCUCAGUUCCCAAGAAAAAUUAUAUUCUUCCCUCCUGCAGCCCUUUCCCUGUAUAUUUCCACCAGCUUCAUAGCUAUAUGGCCUGUGAAAACGACUCCCAAAUUAAAACACUUGAGAAGCUCUAAUAGUUUUCUUAUUAUUUCUUCACUCUUUGUCAGUGUGCCACAUUCAAAUACUACUGAUCGAUUCUUCCUCGUCACAACCACUCACUUUCCCCUAAAUCCCAUACCAACUAAAUCAAUAUCUCUUAUCACUUAUCAAAACUCCAUCUAAUUUCCAAAUGAAUCACACCAUUUGAACACUUUGCCAAUUCCUAAUUCCUUCAAAAUUUUCAUCCAUCAAAAAAAAAACUGCAAGUCAUACUUUUUCACUCUAACACAGUUCUCCUUAUAAUCAAUCUUCCAAUUUAACCAUACUCUUGCCUCUAAAUCUGGCACGCAAAGCUUCUACAUAACCUUCCAACGUUACUUCUUGCCUCCCAACAAGGGUGGAGGCAUGCAUGGGCUAGGGUGGGCUCUAGCUCAGGUGAAGAUUUUAUUAAUAUUUUUGUUCUAGUUUUAUGUAAAGAAAAUUUGUAAUUCUCAAUUUACGUGGAGCCUUCUAAUAUGAUGCUUUAACUUGAGUUAAAAUUUUAUAAUUUUUGAAGAAAUUCAGAAAUUUGAUAAAAAACAAAAUCAUAAUUUGACCAAUUUUAUGUUAUUGGGUGUAAUUUUCAAUCUGACCAUCAGAUUGAGCUAAAAUUUUACAAGGAAUCUUAAAAUAUAUUAAAUAAAAUCUGGUUUAAAUUUUAAAAUGAACAGAGUUUGGUAGUGCUAACAAAAAAAACAUCAAAUAAAAGCAAAAUGACUCAUUAAGGGUAAAAUUGUUAUUUGCCAUAAAAAAAAAUCAGUUCUUCCUUCCUUUAUAUGUUGCUGACUGGGCAGAAACAAAAUAGAAAAUGAAAGAAAAGAAAAGGCGAGAGAAAAAGAGAGAAAAGUAAGGGAAAAACAUAAAAAAAAUCCUAGAAAAAAAGAUAAGAAAAGUGAGAAAAUAACCUUAUAAACUUAUAAAGUCCAACUUAUAAAAUAUUAAUCUAAGGAAGAAGCAAGUGAAGGAAGGAGGAAUUGAGAGAGGGAAAAAAUUUAAUUAUUUUAUUUUUCAGUUGACAUGAGAUUGUUAUUUUAUCCCGGUUAAGGGAUUGUUAUAAUAUCAAUUCAAAUUCGAUUAUAGAUGAAUUAUAUUUCACAAAACAUCGAAAGAUGUAACUUUAAUAGUGAGUUUAUUUUUACUUUCACUUUAAUUUUAUAUAUUUUUAAAUUUAUUUUUUAAUAUUUUAGGUAAUGUAUUUGAAUUAAAACUUUACUAUUAACUUUAAAAACUCAUGUACAUUAAUUAAUAAUUUAUCUUAAAAAAAAUAUUAUAUAUUUAUUUAAUAGUGCAGGACAGAAAAAAAAUCUAGCAAAAUUUAUUCUUUCCAACUUUAUUUGUUUUGACUGAAAAAUAAUCUUUUAUUUUUGUACUUCACAGGCAUGUGGUGGCAAAAGUCGAGCACGAUAUAUAUAUAUAUAUAUAUAUAUUUCUUAAGAUACAUAUGGCUGGUGAUUGGCGGAUGAUGGUGUCAUUAAGACUCUUGGUGUGUACCCUCAUCCUUUCUGUUUAUAGUUUAGUCCAUUUGCAGCUUUAAUGGCUACUAUCAGUUGCUUUGGAACCUGAUAUCACUAGUCUCAUUAUGGUACAGACAAGCUCAGGAUGAUCAAUCCUUGAGAAUCCACAUCCAACCAGAAAUAAACCGAAUUUCGAGCAUAAAUGACUCGAACUCGCUGGAAUGCUUUGGCACCUCCUUCAAUCCUAGUUUGGGAAACAGAAACACUAUCACCGUUAGUUUUCACCGAGGAAGACAGCACCCCCAUUCUCUCCUGCUGUGCUGAUGAUGGGGCAUGAGAGAUAGUCCAAAGGAUUUGCCUCACGUUGAAGUAUGCAACUGUCUAUGGUUAGCCUUCUCUUUUGUGAUGCAAGCAGCAACCAAGCUCUGCCUUCACUGCAUAAAGAAAUGAUUGAUUCACGAAGCCUGACUUCUUUGAAUUUGAAAGAUUAGAAUCAUUGGAAGAGAAAGAAGAAAAGGUGUAAAUGACAGCGGAAUGCUAUUAUACCAUCUGCCAAGGUAAUGCCAAGUCUACUUGCGAGGUAUUUAUAUCAUAAUUUUUAAAUAUUAGAUUGUCAGCGCAUACCAAGCAAAGAGCUUCGAUUCACAACGAAAUGAAUCCGUGCUAUGGGUUAUCAUCUGAUAUCAUCAUUCAUCAACAAUUAAUCGAAUGGGUUUAUACAUGAAAUGUUUUUAGUUUCUUAAUCAAUAAUUGAAGUUUUUAAUUGGAAGUCAAAUUAUUCUUAGAGAAUAAUAUAAUUAAACUAAACCUUGGUUAAUUGAUUGCUAGCAAAGGUGUACAUUUACAUGGCUUGAAAAUGAAGCUUAUCUUCCAUUUAAUUUUAUCAAAUAAAUUAUUUAUAGAGUAGUUUUGAGUGAUAUAAAUCAAAUAGGAAUUAAAUCAUGUUAAAACAUUUAAUUUUGUUGUCCCUUUAUAUUACAAACAGCAACAUUACGUAUCAUGUUUAUAAAUUCCAAACCACUCAUUUGAAACUAACGCUUUGUAUUUUUUUUAUAAAAUAAAAUAAAUCCUAACACUGAUGUGGACUAAAAUGUUUUUCAUAUAAAAUAUGAGGAUCAAAAAACUUUCAUGAACAUUUAAAAUAUGAUGUGGACUAACAUUUUUUUUUUGUUAAAAUUAGUUCGGUUUGUACUUUCUAGAUCGUUUUGAUGUGCUGAUAUCAAAAAUAAUUUUUAAAAAAUAAAAAAAACAUUAUUGGCAUACUUUUCGGCACGAAAAGCUAUUUGAAAAACAACAACUACCACACUUCCAAACACCCUCACUUAGUAUAAAAAAGAAAUCAUCACGUCGUUAUUUUCCACUCAGUAUAAAAAAGAAAUCACACGCCUUAGAGGAUAAAUAAGCAAUGCGAAAGUUAAAUAAAUUUAUGAAUUACCAGCAUAAUUCACACUAAUUCCCCUCUCUAACUUGCACCUCAUCAAUUUUUAUUCCUUUACUCUCGAACGAAAAUAAUAAUAUUUAAGUUAUUAAACCCAACUCGAAUUAUAAUUCAAGUAGGGGGUUAACAUAAAUCAAUACAAAGUGAUAUGACUUUAGGAGUUUUUUCAAAAAAACAAAUUAAAAUGAUGUGAACUUUUUUAAAUUAAAUUGAGUUUUAAUUGAUCAAAUAAGUUGGAUUACACCAGGUCAAAUUCUAUCCGAUUUAAUUUAAAAUUCAAUCUAAACUCUUAACUUACCUUCAGUCGGGUUUAAUAACAUAUUGACGUAACUUUAGACAAGUUAAGACAUGUUAUUUGUAUAAUCAGACCAAAUUCUCAAUCUUUAUUUAUCAUAAUAACGAUCCAACCCAUUAAUUUUAAAUGGGCCUAUAAAAACUCUAACUUGCCAUAAAAUCAGCAAUUUUACAUCCUAUUUUAUAAAAGACACUCCAACAUAAUUAAUUAAAAUAGUAUUUGAUAUUGUGGUAAUAAUUAUUUUUUAAAGUAUUUUUUAUUUAAAAAUAUAUUUAAAUAAUUUUUAAUUUUUUAAUUUUAAAAAUUAAUAUUUGACAUUACAUAUUAAAACAAUCUAAAAACAUAAUUUUUAAAAAAAGUUAUUAUUAUUUAAGAAAAACUGUAUCACCAUACAAACAAAUCCAAAAACACAAUUUUUUUAAAACAAUUAUUAUUCUUUUAAAAAAAAUUGUAUCACCAUAAAAACAAAUAAUUUCUAAGAGUGACAGUGAGCAACAGAAAUAAACCAUGGCAGAAACUAAAAAUACCUUUAACGGAAACUGUGCUUCGAUUCACAACGUUUUCAUCCUUGACCAAUGCUUGACAGAGUAGACGACGGGUCAGAACAGAGCUACCAGUCCUGCAUUUCUCGAAGGAUAGUUUUGGAAAUGCUCUAAGACCGUGGCCAUUAUGCUGUGUAUGUUUGAUAAUGCAGUGAAUAUAAUUUUAUAAAAAUAUUUUUCAAUUAAUAAAAUAUUUCUUAAAGAAAUUUUCAAUAAUUUUGUUAAGAAAUUUGCGUGGCCAGACAUUUUAAAGAAUGAUGCUAAAUUUGGGGUUACAUAGGCAGCUGCUGGCUCCUCUUGUAUCUUUUGGGUUAAAGGCAUCGUUUGUUUCCUGCCGUUGUCUAUUCUCCGGUCGUAGAAGCUGACUGCAAUCCUCCGACUCUGUUCUCAUAGUCAGAUGCUUCCUCUGUUUUCUCCUGGCAUUAAAAUUACAGCUCACCCUCAAAUCUUAUUGCCUCUGGUCAUUUUCUUGAAUGGUGCUUGGUGUUGUCUUCUAGCGUUUGCAGUAUCGUAAUUUGCUGGAGUUUUUGUAGUAUUUGAAUUGUGGGUGAUUGAGCUGCAGAAUUUGUGCAAUUGAAUUGAAUUUGUGCUAUGGGUUAUCACGCGAUAUCAUCAUUCAUCAACAAUUAAUUGAAUGGGUUUCUACAUUAAAUAUUUUUAGUUUCUUAAUCAAUAAUUGAAGUUUUUAAUUGGAAGUGAAAUUAUUCUUAGAGAAUAAUAUAAUUAAACUAAAUCUUGGUUAAUUGAUUGCUAGCAAAGGUGUAAAUUUACAUGGCUUGAAAAUGAAGCUUCUCUUCCACUUAAUUUUAUCAAAUAAUAUAAUUUUGAAAUAAAUUAUUUAUAGUAGUUUUGAGUGAUAUAAAUCAAAUAGGAAUUAAAACAUGUUAAAACAUUUAAUUUUGUUAUACCUAGGUCCCUUUAUAUUACUAACAACAAUAUUAUGUAUCGUGUUUAUAAAUUCCAAACCACUCAUUUGAAACUAAAGCUGUGUAUGCUUUUUAUAAAAUAAAAUAAAUCCUAACCUUCAUAUGAGGAUUAAAAAACAUUCAUGAAAAUAUAUGAAAAGCUAUUUUUGUCUCUAUGGGCUAGGUACGAUGUAUUCAGGUAUGGAUAUGGGUCUGGGCUUAGGAUGAUAGAUAUGGGUCCAGUAGGAGCACGAUAUUUUUUAAUGGUAAGGAAUGAGCUAUGCCUACCAGGCUGGUUACUCGGUCCAUUCACCUCUCUACCUGAGGCUUGUAUAGUUUAUUGAAAAAAACAAACUUAUAUCGUUUCUUUUAGAAUUCAUUUCUUUAUAAAGCAUGACAAUGUAACCAAAUUUGCAUUAUCUAUAUAAAAUAAAAGAAAAUAUAUAUUUUCACAAAUUCUACCAUAUUGCUCGACCAAAAUAUUUAUUUUUUGUUUCUAUACAUAUUAUAAUUAGUUACAAAUAUAACACCCAAUUUAAUAAAAUCAUAUGAGCAAAAUUCCAGGACUUUCCAUGGACAAAACCCAAUUUAAUAUAUAUAUAUAUAUAUAUAUAUAUAUAUAUAUUUCUCUACAUAUUCAAUAUAUUCAUCUAAAUGUAUUUAUCUGAAUGCUAUAUUAUCUUAUAAUUUAACUGGGACCAAAGAUAAAUGAUAACAUUUAUUUAAAUGCUAUUUAUGAUUGACACACAAAACCCUGUUUUCAUAGUUAAUUGAAGGAUAAUAAAUGGAAGAAUGACAAAUUGCCAGGUGGAAAGUUAUACCUCAUCACAACAAAUACUUUCCAGCCAAUUAAUUAAUGGCGGUUACAACUAAUUACAACAAAUACUCUUCACUUCUUCUCUAUAGUUAUGUUAAUGGUAAGAAAAGGUUGGAUAUUAGAAUUUUGAAAAAUAAAAUAAAAGAUAAGUGAUGUUCAGAUUAGAACUUGAUAUUUGAUAUAAAAUAUAUAUUUUUUAAUUAAACUUUAAUAACAAGUCAUAAAUCAACUCAAAAAUAGUAAAUAUUGUAAAAAAAAAAUGGUAAUAUUAUACACAAAAAAAGAGACUCAUGAAAUGACAUAAAAAAUAGAAUUUUUGUAUAUUUUUAUCUAUUCAUGAACUUGAACAUGAUUUAUAUUUAUAUAAUCAUACAUUUUAAUUGGAAAAUAAUCAAUAAAGGAAGAAAGAAUCGACUUUAAACAAAUAAAAAGAAAAUAGAAGAUGAAAUAUAAAUCACGUAAGAAUUAAGUCUUCUCGAAGACUAGCUUAAGAGUAAGAAAGAGGCAAAAUCUAUAGGAAUUUAAUUAAUAAAUGUUUCAUGCGUGUUGUUUCGAAUUGUAUAAAUAUAAAGAAAAUACAUUUAUACAUAUUAUAUUAUAAUGAAUAUAUUUUUCUGUGCAAAAUUGUUAUUAUUUUUUCAAAUCAAACCCCCGGUUUGAGUAUUGAGCAUAAAAAGAAUUUGGAUUGUUGAAUCAUUUAAACAAUUAGUGGAUCGCCAAUGAAUCAUUUUAUUAAAAUGAUAUUUUGCUUUUUUAUAAAAAAAUUUAUUAAUAUUGAUUUAACUAAGUUUGUAUCAGAUUUUACCAAAUCAAAUAAAUCAUUACAAAUUCAAUUGAGUAAUUAAGAUUUUAUCUUAUCAAUGUUUUUUUCUAAUUCAAUUUUAAACCUGGUUAAUGCCAGGAUCUGGAGGAUGUGCUUCCUAUAUCAAAUCACCAUGCAGGGAAGAGUUUAAACAUUUUUCAUUUUUCCUAUAUCAAAAAAUUACAUUUCUUAGCAAAACACACGAGUUAUAUAUAUAUAUUUAAACAAAUUACAAAUAAUCUAAUCAAUUGAUUAAAGUUGUGACACCUUAUAGUACGUAGACGACUAUAUAAUACUAUAAGAUAUUUAACAAUAUUUAUUUUUAUGAAGAGUAAUAUGUUGCUUGUCUAUGUAAUUUCUCUUUUAAAUUGGGUUUAAUUUCAAAAUCAACGUGUAACUUUGUACGUAGGGGCAUGUCAUGGGCAGUGUUGGACCAAAUUCUCAAUCUUUAUUCAUAGAGGUGGAUCAUGAUCGAGAUUCGAGCCUAUUAAUUUUAAAUGGAUCUACAAAACCUCUAUUCGGCCAUAAAAAAUAAAAUCUCAGGUGCCCAUCAAUGAUAGGAUCUAUUUUGUAAAAGACAUUUCAACAGUAUUAAAAUAAUGUUUAGUAACGUGAUAUCUGAUAUUUUUAAAAAUAUUUUUUUAUUUAAAUUAUAUAUUUUUAAAAUUUAUAUUUAAUAUUAUUAUAUUAAAAUAAUAUAAAAAUAUAAAAAUAUAUUUUUAAAAAAAAUCUUGGUGUCAAAGUGAGUGAAUAAAAAAAAUAAAUCAUGGCAGAAACCACGAACACCUUUAACAGCAAUGUCGUUUCAGUUUGACAGAGUUGUGUUAAAAAAAAAAUUCCUUCAAUUUGUAUUGACUUUUUAAUGUUUUAAGUUUACAGUGCUCCUAUAUAUAAACAGAGAAGAUGUUCUUAAAAACUAUGGAUUCCUGCUAUAAACAGGACUUAUACAAAUGUGGAAUAAAUCAAUUACUAAACUAUGGAAUAGGACUUAUACAACUGUGGGAUAAAUCAAUUACCAAACUUUUUCUUACAAACUCUCAACUAAAUCACUUUGUAAUUAUACUAACACUUUGAGUCAAGUUAGUGCAAAGAUAUCUUACCCAACUUGUCAAGGGAGCUCUGAAAGUUUUUGCUGAAGACAACUUUUGUAAAGAUAUUCGUGAGCUGAUUCUUUGAUUUGACAAAUGAAAAGUUAAUCACUUAUUAUUUAAGAUUUUGUUUAAUAAAAUGUUUGUCUAUUUCAAUAUGUUUCGUGUGAUCAUGUUAAAUUGGGUUAUAAAAUAUUUUAAUGGCAGCUUAAUUAUCACAGUAUAGGUUCGUUCUUGAUUUGGGAGCAAAACCAAUUUCUGAUAAUAAUCUUCUGAGCUAAAGCAGUUUACGUAGUCCUUUUACCGUCCCUUGAAACUCAACCUCUGUGCUUGACAAGGUAGCUACUUUUUAUUUCUUGCUUCUCCAUGUGACUAAAUUGCCACCAAUAAACGUGAAGUAUGCUCAUUAAUCUCAUGCAUAUUUUGAUUAUUUUGUUGAAUAUUUUAAUCAGGUUUAUGAUAUGGAUUCUUAUAAUAAAAUUUUCAUUUAAUUUUUUUAUUUUCAUGGGGGGUUUUAAUGUAGGGAACAUAGGAAGUGUAAAGGUGGCAACUUUUUUGCUUUAUUUUAUACCGUAUUUAAAGCCAGUGCCUUUGAGGUUUUAUGGCAGCCCAUCAACAAUAUUCUUAGUAGGAUCUUAUCAUUUAUGGUACUAGCCUGUUGGGCCUCCCUUUUCAUUAUUUUAAGCGUAGUUGCCACCCAUCUUUCUGUGGCUCCAUGUUCAUUCUCCAAACCAUUCAUAUAGGUAUCUUAAAUAGUGUAGCUGGAGCUUUACUGGGUAUGCUUUUUAAUAUAUUUUUAAGUAAAAUAUAUUUUUAAAAAUAUUUAAAAAACAAACAUUACUGUACUUUCAAAAACAUAAUCCUCUUGUAUCUGACGCUUUAAAUUCCAACAAUGAGUUACUGAUUAGAUAAUAUCUACAUUCAAUUAAAAAUAUAAUUUCUUGACAGCGAAAUAAAGAAAAAAGUAGCAACCCUGUAAUAUCUAGGUAAUUUCUAUGCUCUUUAAAUUAGGCCUCUAAACUGAGACUGUAAUGAGCCCAUGACAGAGGAAGACAUGAAAGUGUAAUUUCAGAAGACCAUUAUUCAUAUAACAAAUUUAGUAAAUUUAGUAAACUCGUAAAGUUAAACCGAUUUUACUAAUUCUGUACUAGUUAGAUUUGAUUUUAUUAAUUUUAAAUUUUUAGUUAGAUUUAGUAUGUUAAAUAUAUAUUAACUUAAAUUUUACUAAUAACUCAUAAUUUUAACAACCUUGCUUGUAAUAGCUCUUGUGGUGGUUGAUGUUUAAAAAAGAUAAUUGAGAAAUUAUUUUCACUCGUGACUUUUUUGAUUUAAAUAAGUAUUGAAUUAAAAAUAUUUAAUUAAAAUUAUUGUUUUAAUUUAAUUACCACAAAAGAUACUGGUGAAGGUGGAGAGGAUGCAAAAGAUGAUUGGGUAUCCUAUUAAUCGUCAAAACAUCAACUAUUGUGGUCAAUUCUGCUGACUGCUGAGACUAAAAGCCAACCACUUGAAUAAUGGGCAUUAGCUGUUUAGCACUCCUUGGUAAACACUUCAGGCUCCUUUCCCGCCCCUUUCCUCGCUGGUUCCUUAAUAGCUUCAAGGGGUGCGAGCGCCUCGUUCGAGGAUUGAGCAUAAAGGACUAAAAGAGUUCAAUAAAUACUAAAAGACAUAAAGUGAAGUUUUUAUAAUAUUCAUAGCAAUGGUCAUCAGCUAAUUUAUAAUUUAUUUAUCUACUUUAUCAAUGAAAUAAAAGUGAUAAAAGAAAAGGAGAGAAGAAAUAAAGUGAAGUCUUCUUCUGCAUUAUUAGCACAUCACGUGAAAAUAAAGAAUGGCAUAUAAUAAAAGUUAUUCCAAUCAAACCUCCUUUUUCAACCGAUGGGGUCUCUUGUCAAAUAAAGCAAGGACAGACCGAGUAAGAUGUGGGACCUAACUGCACUUUCCUGGCACGCGUAGUUCACGCAUACACAAGCACAUUCAGAAUAGUAUUCAAUUUAAAAACACAAAAAAAAAAUAAAGGAAUAAAAGAAGGAAAAGUGAUCAAAGAAGAAGAGAGAAGAAAUAAAGUGAAGUCUUCUUCUGCAUUAUUAGCACAUCACGUGAAAAGAAAGAUACAAACAAGAUUACUCCAUUUUCCAGUCACUUUUUCAACCGAUGGGGCUUCUUGGCAAAUAAAGCAAGGACAGACCGAGUUGAUGCGCUACGUAACUCCUUUUUCCUGGCCCGCGCAAUUCACGCAUACACAAACACAUCCAGAAUAAUAUUCAUAAAAUUAAUUAACAUCCCGUAAAAAUAUACUUUAAUUUAGAAAAGAUUUUAAAAUGUUAUUUUUCAAAUUAAUAAUAACAAAAUUUUAUAUUAAAUUGGUUCGCUUAAGUUAACCUAUUAGAUUUAUAAUUCAGGUUAUGAAAUUAUAAUACCUAGUUCACAAAUAACCAAAUAUGGUGAAGUUUUUCCAAUCAAACCCUUUUUUUUUUUUAAGAUGUAAUUUCUAGAAAAAUAAAUCAAAGACAAACAGAGUAAAAUUUCAAAAAAUAGAGAAAGAUGGAAAAUCCCACCAAUAUUUAACCCACUUAAAUUGAGUCCAAAUCAUAAAAGCAUCUACAAAGAGUGUGUUAAAUGAAAAGUUAAAAAUUAAAAAAUAUAUAAUUUUGACUCUUUCAUGUUUAUUUUACACACUUCAAAAAAAUAUUAAAUAAAAUAUUAAAAUAUUUUUUUUUCUUAUAAAUACUAUUUCUAAAUAUCUAUCAAAAAAACCAAUACUAAAAAAAUAGAGUCAUCAAAAAAUAAACCAAUUAAAUAUAAUUAUAUGAAAAAAUAUAUUUUAAAUAGUGCAGCCUGAGCUUAAUGGUUAAAAUAAUUUUAUAUUUUUUAUAAUUGUUAACAUCAACACAUUAAAAUCAUUAAAAAUAUUAAAAAAUCAAUAAUUUAAUAUAUUUUUAAAUAAAAUAUAUUUUUUAAAAAAACAUAUAAAUUACUACUAUUAUUUCAAACACACAAUCCUAUUCCAUCUUAAAAUCUGAGCUAUUAGGAUAGUAAAGUUAAUUCGUUAAAUUUACAAUUGUGGUGGUGGGAUAUUAAAAAAAAUCUUAUAUUAAAAUUAAAAAUUUUAAAAAUUCUUGAAUAAAAAAACAACAAAACAAUUAUUCAGGUAAUUGUAUAAAAUAUAAUAAUAUAAUGUAUAAUUUAUAAUUGAUUUAUUUACCUUAUCAGUCUUCUGCUGCAUGAUCACAUCACGUGAAAAGCUUGGCAUUUAGUGAUGUUUUUCCAAUCAAACCUCCUUUUUUCAAAGAUGGAAUCUCGAGGUAAAUAAAUCAAAGACAAAACCGAGUAAAAUGGAGUCCAGAGCAUAAAAGAAUCUCCAAUGAAGCUGCUAAAUGAAUAACUAAAAAUAAUAAUAAAAAAAAAAUUGUUUUUGUUUGUUUUUUAUAUUUCAAGAAGAAAAUCAAAUAAAUCGUUAAAAUAUUUUUUUUUCACAUAAAUAUUAUUUUUAUAUAUCUCUCAAAAAAAUCAAAAUUAAUAAAAUAAAACCAACAAAAAAAAGCCAAUUAAAUCUAGGUAUCUAGAAAAAAAUAACUUUAAAAUCAUUAAAAAAAAAAAAUGUUUAUUUAUUUCACUUUAUCUCGAAAAACAGUAACUUUAAAAUCAUUAAAAAAAAUAAAAUGUUUAUUUAUUUCACUUUAAUAGAAUUGGCUUUUCAAUGUAUUUUUUCUAUUGGAAUAUAUAUUGUAAAAAAAAUAUAUUUAUAUUAUUUAAAAUACUAUUUUAUUAGUUUAUUUUUUUAAAAUAAUAUUUUUUAUUAAAGAUACUCCAACAAGGGCCGAGAGAGCAAAGGCUUUUACGAGUUCUGUGUUCCGUAUACUUCUCAAGGGGAAAAAAAUAAUGUUUUGUUAGAGAUUUGUUUUUGAUAGAAUUGUUAGCGAUCUUAGCCGAUGCAUCUGGAUUAUAAUUUUUAGCAUUUAUACUAUUUUAUAGCGCUAAUAUCUUAAAAAAACUUAUUUUCUAGCUUUUUUUUCAUGGUAUAAUAAAAUAUUAAAAAAUAUUUUUCAACUCAUUAUCCUUAAUACAAUUAAAUUUCAUAGAAUAGUCUAUUUUUUAGAAAUAUAGUUUACUAUGAGAUUUAUUGGAUAAAAGAAAUUCACUUUGUAACAAUGCACUAGAAACUAAAAAAAAAUAAGCUAAUGAUCAUUUAAAAAUAUAGUAUAUUGGAAUCAUCUUGCUGAAUAGGUGAGUUUGGGAGUUUGGUUGCUUAACAGGCGAGUGAGGGUUAAAUGUAUCCAAUUAAAUAAUAUCUACAUUCAAUUAAAACUUAUGGUACAAUUACUUGACAGCAAAAUAAAGAAAAGCAGGAACCCUGUAAUAUCUAGGAAAUUUCUAUGCUCUUUGAAUUAGGUGCCCAAACUAAGGCUAUAAUGAGCCCUGAAUUUACACAGAAGAAAUUUCAUGGGAAAUGGGUUGAUGUCAGAGGCAGACACGGAAACGUAAUUUCAGAAGACUAUGACUCAAAUCAGUGGCUGAAAUCCAAUCACUCAAGGGAUGGUGACACGUUGUCUUGAGUGGGAGACAACUGGUCUUCAGUACAAAGAGAAACAACGUUUUUUUUUUAUUAUUAUUAUUAUUAUUAAAAGCGAGUGUACGAGUUACUUCCAUGUUUUUUAAUUAAUUUUAAAAUUAAUAAUUAUAUAAAUUUUUAAUAAUUAUAAAAAAGUUUAAAUUCAUGAAAAGAUUUGAAUUCAUAAUUAUUAAAAUACAAAUAUAUUUUCCUGAGUGUCUUUGCUCUCGUGACAGCUCACGAUGGUGGGGGGUUUAAAAAAAAAUUUAAAAAAUAUUUUUACUUGUGAUUUAUUUAAUUUAAAUAAGUAUUUAAUUAUAAUUAUAAUUAACGAUAUAUUGUAACUAAAAUUACUAUAAAAAAGAACAUAGUGAAGGUGGAGAGGAUGAGAAUAAUGAUUGGAUAUCUUAAUAAUUGUAAAAAGAAAGUAUUUUUUUAUGGUGAAGUUAUUUGUAUAUGAGAAAAGACUGAGUUUUGUAGCUCAGAAAAAAUAAACAUGUUGAUAUUGCUUUUUAAUAACCCAUGAAUGGACCGUAAAUUGCAACGGGUUCACAAACACAAACAUGUGCUUCACAUGUAACCAAACUUAUUGUUAUCUGCAUUAAAAGCAAAAGAUGCUAAAAACACACACAUUUGAUCGUUGAAGAUGUUUUUAAAUUGUUUUCUUAAUUAUUUUUCAUUUAAAAAAAUAUGAAUCAAAGAAGUUUAAUAAUUAUAAUUAUUAAAUAUUUUGAAAUAAAAUGAUCCAUCUAUAUUAAAAAAAAACAUCAUUCCCACGUGUGGAAGAUAAAAUUAAUCAACCUAAUCUUAUUGGAUUGCAUUUUAUUAAAUCAAACCAUCAGUAUCUUUAAUGCAGGAUAUUUUUGUUUUUCCAAUUCAAGUAUACUUUUUAAUAUAAUAAAUUUUUUUAACCUAUUUUUUUAUUAUUAUUUUAGUAUCAUUUUGUUAUUUCUAAUAGUUUGUGGUUACCAGUUUAGUCCUGAAUUCAUUAUUAGAACCAUCAAUUUUAAAAAUCAAUGUAAGUUGAUUUUUAUUAUUUUUUAUUUUUUAAAAUUAAUUUAUUAAAAAAAAAUUCCAUGAUUUCUUUUUAAGAGACUAACCCUUCAUCGACAAACACUAAUGUACCCUGAAAAACAUAAUCUUAUUACAUCUGACGCUUUAAAUUCCAACAAGGAGCACCUACACAUCGAAAUAAAGAAAAGUACUGAGUGCCUUGGCGGUGGGAGGAGCUCUGCUCCUGAGUUCGAGUGUUUACAUGUAUAUCUAUCAUUCUCGUGGUGUUUUAUAUAUCUAUUGGGUUUAUAAAGUAUUCAGUGGGAUUAGUUGUGGUGCGCGCAAACUGACCCGAACAUCCAAAUAAAUAAAUAAAUAAAGUAGAAACCCUGCAUGUGGGAAAUUUUUGUUAGGCCUCCAAUCUGAGGCUGUAACGAGCCCUGGAUCUACACACAAGAAAUUUCAUGGGAAAUGGGUUGAUGUCAUAGGGAGACAAGGAAGCGUACUUUCAAAAGACCAUGAGACAAAUCAACGGCUGAAAUCCAAUCACUCAAGGGAUGGUGACAUGUUACCAUGAGUGGGAGACUGCUAGUCUCCAUCUAAAUGUUUAAAGAUGACUGGGUAUCUUAGUAAUUGUAUAACAAUUGAUUUUUUUUGCUGAAGUUGUCGGUGUGGAUGAGAAAAUACUGAGUUUGUAGCUUAGUAAAAACAUGUUGAUGUUGAUGUUACUUUUUAUUAGCUCAUGGUUGGCCCGUAAAUUAUAAUGGGUCCCACAAUCACAAACCUAUGAUUCACAUGUAAUUUAUGUUUUACAACUUAUUUUUAAAAUUAUUUUUUAUAUAUAUUUUUAUACCAUUUUUAUUUUAAAAAUUUUAAGUUUAAAAAAUAUUAUUUUAAUAUAUUUUUAAAUAAAAAAUACUUAAAAAAAAAAUUAAUAUCAGACACAGUGAAUGUUUUAUAAAAUUUUACAAUCGCUUUUACAUUUUGUUUAGAUCACAUUUGAAAAUGCGGUACACUACAAUAAAGUCCGUUAUAUGAUUAAGGGUAUGUUUGGUAUUGCGGUUGCUGUUGUGAUUGUAAUUAUGGUUUUAAAAAAAAUUGUUUUAUAAAAAGUAAUUUUAGUUGAGGUUGGUUUGAAAAAAUAUAUGUUUGGUUAAAACUGUAGUUGAAAUUGAGGUUGAACAAAAAAUAGUUUAAUGUGUUUGGUUAAAAAAAUGUUUUUCAAAUUGAUGUUAUAAAAUCAUUAAUAUAUAUAUAUACUAAUAUUAAUUAUUUUUAAUUUAAAUAUUGUAGAUUUAACUACUGUUAUUACAUCAUGAAAUAAAUAAUAUUAAUAUCAAAUAUUUUUUAUUAUUAGAUUAAAAUAUAUGUAAUCUCAUUACAUAUGAAAUCUAUCAAACAAGGACUAUAUUUUUCAUGGUUUCUUAAGCGUGCAACAACAAAAACUGAUUUUUUAAAUUUAUAUAGUGUUAUUAAAUAAUAAAGAUUGUGAUAUAUUUAUUAUUGAAAUUGCGAUCAAAUUUCAUAAAUGCUACGUCAUCAUGCGAUAUCUUUCUAAUUUAUAUAGUGUUAUUAAAUAAUAUUAAAUACUAGUUUUUCGAGUAAAACAAUUUAAAAAAAUAUAUAUAAUUUCACUACGUACAAAAGUUAUUCGACAAAAACUACAGUUUUCAUGAUUUUUUGAGCAUGUAAUAAAAUUAGGUAAAAUAUUAUCACGAAUAAAAUUGAGAUUACAGUACGAGUAAAUUUAAUUCACCUUAAACUAAUUUUUUUAAAAAAAAUAUCGUUUACUAUUAACUGCACUGGUUUUUUAGGGGGGAAAAUAAACUUUGCUCACCGGUUUUUUUUUUUAAAAAAAUAAAUAAAUAAACUUUUCUUACAGAUUUUUUCUUUUUUUAAAAAAAGAAGACAUGGUGACAAUGGAGCCAUGCUCCACUGUUAAGUGGUUGUUACCCACGAGAAGCAGUAAAAAUAACGUGGACCCUAUCAAGCAAAAUCAAUCUUGCUUGAUUACCAAACAUUAAAAUAUGUGGCUGCGAGUAAACUCGCCACACUACCAAACAACAUCUAAAGUCUUUAAUUGUCUUGCAUUUAUCUUUAAAACUGCUAUAAGAAUUAAUUAAUUGUGUCAAUUCAAUUCUUUCGAUUGACAUUGAUGCCAAACAUGUUAAUUCAUGAUAUAAUUAAGCAAUUCAAUACAAAUUUACUAAUAUAAUUUAUUUCGGCUUAAACCUUUGAAUAAAGCAAAAUGCAGAGGUUGUGAAAGUGAAAUACCUUAAUAAUUUUUAUGCUUUACAACUCUAGGAGCCACACAAAAUAUAAUGCGUUUGUUACUAUUUAUUUGUUAAAAAGUAUUUUUUUUAUUAAAAAAUGAUUUUUUAAAAAAUAAAUUGAAAAAUAUUUUUUAAUAUUUGAUUAUUUUAUAUAAAACAAGCCAAAAAAUAUUUUUUUAAUUUUCUUCUCAAAUUUAUUAAAAGAAUAAGAAACAAAUAUUUCAAAUAAAAAUAUUGAAGGAAGAUGAAAUUAAAAAAUAUAUAUAUUUUUAUAAAUUAUUUUAAAUAAAAUAAAUAAUAAUUAGAAGAAUAAGAAACAAAUGAAAAAUUAAAAAAUUAAAAAAAAAUAAAACAGAAAUAAAUAAUAAUCAAAAUAAAAAAUUAAUACAAAAAUAAUAUUAAACCAAUAAUUUAAUUUAAAAAAAAACAAAAUAUAAUUUAUAAUUUAUAAUUUAUUUAUUUGCUUUAUCAAUGAAAAGUGAUGGUAGGAGGGAGAGAGAGAGGAAAUAAAGUGAAGUCUUCUGCUGCCUGAUCACAUCACGUGAAGAGCUUGGCAUUUAGUGAAGUUUUUCCGAUCAAACCCACUUUUUUCAAAGAUGGAAUUUAUUGGAAAAUAAAUGAAAGACAAACCGAGUAAAAUGGAGUCCAGAGCAUACAAGAGCCGAGAUUGAAACAGGAAAUGCAAGAAAAAGAAGAUGGGCCCUUGUUUUCUCUUUUUACGGCCGGCGACCGGAUAUAAAAAGGGAGGAGAUGAAGCUUUCAAAUUAUUUUCAAUUUUGCGGUCACUUAUUGUGUCCAUGUCAUUUUGUGUAAUUGCCCAGCUACCGGUACUAUUUUAACACUGUUAAAAGUCUAAAUCAUCAAUAUUUCCCCAAUUUAUCUCUAAAAAAAAUUCACUUCAAUUAAUAGCAUUUUUUUAUUAUUUCUUAUGUCAAUGUUUACCUCUUUUUGAUAAACUCGUAUAUUUUUGUACCAGAGGUCUAAAAUUAUUCUGUCCACUUAUUACUUAUUUAAAUUUAUUAGAAUGUUUUAAAUAACUUUUUUAAAUUUUAAUCCCAGAGUUUACAUGCAUAAUACAUGAGUUAUAUAAAUUAUGAUUCAAAAUAUUGUUAUAACUAAAUUAAAAGAAAAAUUCAGAGUUAAUUUCUUGAAUAUUAAGUUUUCUGAUUUUUCUAUAUAAUUAAUUUUUUAAGUUGAUUUGAUUAGUAUUAUUAUACUUUUCUCAUUCUCGAUAAAAGAAAAAAGAAAAAACCAGAAGAGUAUUUUCUUUCUAUUGAAAAUAUUUGUGGUUAGAAGAAAGUAAUUUUCACUGGAGUGUCGUUUUGGGAUGCAACAUGAACUUGACCUGUCUAAUUUGUACGGCAUGAGAAGAUGUUGCUUUACAUGGCUUCCUCCUUAAAAAAAUUCCAUCACAUUUGAGAAUUUUGUUAUAAAAAAGAUAUCUCUUUUAAAGAAGAAAAGUGAUACCUAAAAUUUAUAAAUGAUCUAAACUCUUAAUUUUUAAUCGAUGUAAAAUGUUAGAGUAUCAUGUUCCUGAAAAAAUCUUUCUAAGUGUAUAAUAUGUUGCAUUUGGGGCAAAAUUAAUAGUUUUGAAUGUUUUUAUUACUGAAACUUUUUUUUUUCUCAACCUCUUUUUCUCUCUCUUCUUGUCAAAUACAAAAGGUUUUUUUUUUAAUUUUUUAAAUAAUUUUAUUUUUAUUUAUUUUAUUUUUAUCUUUUGUAGAUUUGUUUUUUUAUUUAUUUUGUUUUUUAUCGUUUGAUUUUAUUUAUUUUUUUAUUAAACAUUAACUUUAUUUUUAUUUAUUAUUUUUUUAAUUAAACAUCCUUUUUAAUUUAUCUCUUAAUAUUUAAUUUUAAUAUCAAAUUUAAUUAGUCCUAUUUUAUCUUACACUUUAAAUUCCUACAAGUACCCGAUCAAACAAUAUCUGCAUUCAAUUAAAACUUAUGGUACAAUUACCUCAUAGCGAAAAAAAAAAAAAAGUAGAGACCAACUAAGAAAUUUAUGUGCUGUUCCCAGCUAUGUUGCUGACAUUGGACAAGAGAGACUUCUUCAGCCACCGAUAAAAUUAUUUUUGUUGACUUUUUGUGCAGUUUGUCACUUUGCUUCGAUCUUUCUCUCUUUGCACCACAAACACUUGGACAUGGUAGAUACCAAGCACGGUUUUGCUGUCAAUGUACGAUACCAUAUUUGACAAUAUCUUUUUUUUUCUUUUUUCUUUUUUAUGAAGAGUAGUAUGUUGGUUAUCUAUGUAUGUUUUUUAAAAAAUCACAUAUAUAUUUAUCUAAAAUUAUUGAUAUUUAAAAAAUUACAUUAUUUUUUUAAUAAUUCGUUCCGCUGUUCUUUUAGAAUUAAGCGAAUAUUAUGCAAAGCUUCAAGUUUUGUGUAAUUGUUUUUAAUACAAGAGAGUUUAACCAUUUUAAAAUGUUUAAUGAGUUAUUUAAAAUAUUGAAAGUAAUGUACAAUAACUAAUUUAUAAUUUUAUCAUUGCUCUUGCUUUAUUAUAGGUCAAGUCAAGAUUUUCUUAAAAAUAAAAAAUUAUUUAAAUUGUGAAUGUUUUAAUUUAUUCUGGUAAAACAAAUUUAAAUUGUGUGGUGAUUUAACUUGAUUGAAUUUGUAGUUUAAAAAACAAUCUAGAUAACCAGUAAAAAUAUAAUUUAACUCGUAAAAAAUUUCAAGAUUACAUAUAUUUUUUUAAUAUUAAGAUAACAACAAAUUAAUUGAUUUGGGUCAACUCAAUUUAACUUAUUAAAUUCAUAACCCGAGUUAUGAGAUUAUGAUAACCAUGUAGAAAAUAAAUUAUUAAGUCUAAUUCUCAACUACCAAAUAUUAAAAGAUAAAAUUAAAAUAAAUAAAUAAACCAUGUGGAGAUUGAUUCGAUGUGACUUAAUUGAUUUAGCUUGUUCAAAAACAACCCGGAUAAUCAGUAAAAAUAUAAUCUGACUUAGAAAAAAAUUCAAGAUGAUACUUUUUUUCCAAUACAAAGAUAAUAAAGUAAUAGAUUGAAUUGGGUUAACCAGAGUUAACUUGUUAAAUUUUUUAUCUGGGUAUAAGACUGUGAAAUCUAAUUCCUAUUCAACUAAAUAUUUAAUGGUAUAAUUGAAAAAUAAAAUCAAUUAAAAAAUGAUCUAAAAAUAUGAACAUAAUUAACAUGUCAAGUUCAUAACCUAUGUUAUAAUAAAGAUACAAUCUUAUAGAAAAAAAAAAUCAAAAUAAAUUAUGAAGUUCAAUCUUAAAUAACCAAAUUUUAAAAGAUAAAUUUUUUUAAAAAGAACGUAAAAAUGACCCGAGUAAAUCCACCAAACUCAUAACUCGUUAUGAGAUCGAGAUAAUCUUAUAUAAAAAAAAAUUACAUGAUUUAACUCGUCAAAUCUAUGACUUUGGUAACAAGACCAAGACAACCUCUUAAAGAGUAAAUAAAAAUAAAUUAAAAGUGCAAUCCCUAAUUGACCAUGUCAAACUCGAUGUGAAUGAUGCAAUUUCUAAAAAUUUAAAUUAAAAAAUAACAUAAAAAAUAAUUUAGACCAACCCGUCAAGCAUCAUUAUUAGAUUACGAGGCUAGGAUAACAUAAUAAAAAUAAAAUCAAAACAAACCACAAAGUCUAAAUUCUAAUAAAAUAUAUUAUUAAAUAAUAAAAUUGAAGAAAAAAAAUUAAUUAAAAGAAAUUCGAGUCAAUUAGGCUAACUUGCUAAGCCUGUGAGUUAGGUUAUAAAACAAAAAUAACCCAAUAAAAAGUAAUUUCACUAUUGAAGGACUCGUGAUCUACGUCAUGAAAUCAACAUAACCUCUUACAAACAAAAUAAAAAAAAAACAACUCAAUUUAAUUUGGAUUAAAAUGUCAAAACCUCCACCUCUAAUCAUAAAACUAGGAUAAUUAUAUAGAAAAUAAUUUGAAAUAGAUUAUGAAAUUCCAUUCCCAACUGACAUUAUAUCAAAUGAUAAAGUUAGAAAAAAAAUUCAAUUAAAAAAAUAUAAAAUAUAACCCGAGUCAAUUUAGGCUAAUAUGUUAAGUAUUAUUUCCAAUUUAUGAGGUUAGAAUAAUCUAAUACAAAACAAAUAAAACAAAAUAUGAAACUUAAUUUUUAAUUAAAAGAUAAAAUUGUAAAAAAAAUUUAAUUAAAAAAAAUCAAGUUAAGUGAGUGAAUCCAUUAAAUCUACAAUUUUUAUUAUAAAAGUGAGACAACUUAAUAAAAAUAAAUUAAUAUUAAAAUAAAAAACAUUCAAUAAAAAAAACACUCAUUCAGAUAAUUGUAUAAAACAUAAUAAUAUAAAGUAUAAUUUAUGAUUUAUUUAUUUAUUUUAGCAUUUAGUGAAGUCUUUCCAAUCAAACCCCUUUUUUUUUUUUAUAAUUUAUAAAAAAUAAAAAUAUUUUAUUUUAAUAAAUGUUUAAAUAAAAAACAAUAAGAGACAACCGUGACCACUUAAAUGGACUCCUAAGCACACCAAGUUAAGAGUUAAAGAGCCGAGAGAGAAAAAGCUUUUGCCAGUUCUUUACACAUUCUUUCCCCUUCUGUCACCUGAACAAAAUCCCCUCUUCUUCUUCUUGUUUGUUUACUCUUCCUUCGUUACUUUGCAAAGAGGAGAAACCAUGGCCGGGGCUUUAGUAGGAGGAGCUUUUCUUUCUUCUUUCCUUAAUGUUUUGUUCGACAGGAUGGCCUCUCCCCAGGUGAUUGCCUUCUUCAGAGGCCAAAAAGUCAACGAUAGUAGUCUGCUGCAGAACUUUGAAGAAAACAAUGACAUCUCUCAGGGUGGUGCUUGAAGAUGCUGAGGAGAAGCAGAUAACAAGUUUAACUGUGCGGGAUUGGCUGGUCGAUCUUAAAGACGCUGUCUAUAACGCCGACGACUUCUUGGAUGAGAUUGCUUAUGAAGCUCUACGGCAGGAGUUGGAAGCUGAAGAGCAAACCUUCACAGGUCAGACGCAGAAGCUUCUUUCUUUCAUUAACCCACUUGAAAUACUGGGGUCGAGAGAGAUCGAAGAAAAAAUAGAAGUCCUUUUGCAGGAUCUAGAUCCCUUAGUUGCAGGAAUGGCAGCCCUUGGUUUGAACAACCGCAAUGUAGAAAAUCCAUCAUCGCAUAGAACACCAACAACUUCUCUCGUGGAUGGAUCUGGUGUUUAUGGCAGAGAUGAUGACAGGGAAGCAAUACUGAAGUUGCUUCUAUCAAAGGAUGCAAAUGGAGGAAACCCUGGUGUCGUCCCCAUUAGGGGAAUGGGCGGGGUUGGUAAAACCACGCUUGCUCAGCUUGUAUACAAUCACAGAAGAGUACAGAAGCGGUUCGACCUCAAAGCUUGGGUUUGUGUUUCAGAAGAUUUCAGUGUUUUGAAGUUAACCAAGGCGAUCCUUGAGGGGUUCGGUUCAAAGCCUGCUUCUGAUAAUCUGGAUAAGCUCCAGCUUCAGUUGAAGGACAGAUUGGAGGGAAAGAGAUUCUUGCUUGUUUUAGAUGACGUUUGGAAUGAAGAUUAUGCUGAGUGGGACAAGUUGCUUACCCCCCUGAAGUACGGAGCACAAGGGAGUAAGAUUCUUGUCACAACACGCAAUGAAAGUGUAGCAUCAGUCAUGAGAACUGUUCCAACUCAUCAUCUAAAAGAAUUGACGGAAGACAGCUGCUGGUCCUUGUUUGCCAAACAUGCAUUUCGUGGUGAAAAUCCCAAUGCUCAUGAAGAGUUGCUAGAGAUUGGAAGAGAAAUAGUGAGAAAGUGUAAAGGCCUUCCUCUAGCUGCGAAAACACUCGGAGGUCUGCUACGCACCAAAAGAGAUGUCGAGGAGUGGGAGAAGAUAUUGGAAAGCAAUCUAUGGGAUUUACCCAAAGACAAUAUCCUCCCAGCUUUGAGAUUAAGUUAUCAUCAUCUCCCGUCACAUCUGAAGCAAUGUUUUGCUUAUUGUGCCAUAUUUCCAAAAGACCAUGAAUUUCAAAAGGAUGAAUUAGUGCUCUGUGGAUGGCAGAGGGCUUCUUAGUCCCUCUGCAGUAGAUGAUGAGAUGGAAAAGCAGGUGCUGAGUGCUUUGAUGAUCUCUUGUCAAGGUCGUUUUUCCAGCAAUCAAGUGCCUCGCUCAUCAUUUGUGAUGCACGAUCUCAUGCAUGACUUGGCUACCCAUGUGUCCGGUCAAUUUUGCUUCAGCUCCAGGUUGGGGGAAAAUAAUUCUUCCAAGGCCACAGAAGGACUCGACAUUUAUCACUCGUAGUAGAUACGGGAAGGGUUUUUCAAGCACAAAAUUAGAAAACAUCCGUGAAGCCCAACUUCUACGCACAUUCCAACUUUUCACGCUAUUGUUGUCCUCCCGAAUUUAUAAUGAGAUCUUUCAGUCAACACUUGGGCGCCUACGAGUGCUAAUCAUGACUGGUUGUAGAGAUCAACUUGUUAUGUUCAACUAGCAAGUUGAAGCAUUUGCGGUAUUUGGAUCUCUUCGGUCAGAUUUAGUAACGUUGCCUGAAGAAGUGAGUGCUCUUCUCAAUUUGCAAACGUUGAUCUUGAAAAUGCAAACAACUUGCUAGUCUACCUGAUCUUGGAAAUUUGAAGCACUUACGACAUCUGAAUCUUGAAGGAACAAGGAAUCGAAAGGUUGCCUGAAUCUCUGGAAAGGUUAAUCAACUUGCGGUAUCUUAACAUCAAGCACCCUUUGAAAGAGAUGCCACCACAUAUAGGUCAACUGGCAAAGCUCCAAACGUUGAAUUAUUUUCUCGUGGGAAGACAGAGUGAGACUAGCAUUAAAGAAUUGGGAAAGCUACGACAUCUACGGGGAGAACUUCAUAUUGGGAACCUUCAAAAUGUGGUGGAUGCUCGGGAUGCUGGUGAGGCAAAUUUGAAAGGUAAAAAGCACCUUGAUAAGCUGAGGUUUACAUGGGAUGGUGACACUCAUGACCCGCAACACGUAACAAGCACACUUGAGAAAUUAGAGCCAAAUAGAAAGCUGAAGGAUCUUCAGAUUGAUGAUUAUGGAGGUGUAAGGUUUCCAGAGUGGGUAGGAGAGUCCUCUUUCUCAAAUAUAGUGUCCUUGAAGCUCAAUGGAUGUACAAACUGCACCUCCUUACCACCGCUCGGGCAAUUAUCUUCUUUAGAGGAUCUCUCCAUUGAAGGAUUUUAUAAAGUUGUGACUGUGGGCUCUGAGUUCUAUGGGAGUUGUACUGCUAUGAAGAAGCCAUUUGAAUCCCUCAAAACAUUAUCUUUUAGAAGGAUGCCAGAGUGGCGCGAGUGGAUUUCAGACGAAGGCAGCCGGGAAGCCUUCCCUCUUCUUGAUGUGCUUUUAAUCGCAGAAUGCCCCAAAUUAGUUUCAUUUCCCAAAGGAGGGUUACCUGCUCCAGUCUUGACACGACUUGAGUUAGAAGAAUGCAGGAACUUGAAGCAGUUGCCUGAGAGUAUGCAUUCCCUCUUCCCAUCCCUUACCGAUUUGGUAAUAAGAGAUUGUUUAGAAGUUGAGUUGUGUCCAGAAGGGGGUUUUCCCUCCACAUUACAAUCACUUGAGAUUUCUAGAUGCAACAAACUCAUUGCUGGCCGCAUGCAAUGGGGCUUGCAAACGCUCCAUUCUCUUUCACGCUUUACAAUUGAUUGGGACGAAAAUGUUGAAUCCUUCCCUGAAGAGAUGCUGCUGCCCUCAAGUCUUACAUCUCUUAGAAUCUAUUCCCUACAACACCUGAAAUCUCUUGACUACAAGGGGCUUCAACACCUCACCUCUCUUAGAACAUUGAAUAUAAAGAACUGCCCUCUGAUUGAGUCAAUGCCAGAAGAAGGGUUGCCCUCCUCCCUUUCUUCUCUUGUAAUUGAAGGUUGUUCCAUGCUGAAAUCUCUUCCAAGGCUUCACCACCUCACCUCUCUUACAGCAUUGGGUAUAUAUGGCUGCCCUCUGAUUGAGUCAAUGCCAGAAGAAGGGUUGCCCUCCUCCCUUUUUAUUCUUUCAAUUCUCAAUUGUCCUCUGCUGGGUGAAAGUUGUGAAAGGGAGAAAGGUAAAGAUUGGCCCAAGAUUUCUCACAUUCCUCACAUAAGUAUAUAUUGAGGUAUUGCUACUAAAUAGUUUAUUUUCUUUUCAGUAAUCAAAGGCAAUUUCAGUUAAAAUUUGGAUGAAUGAAAUACAGAUAUUGUCCAUUUUGUAUUGUUUAUAUUUGUUGGAUGUUGAAAUACAGAUAUUUUCUUCCUAUUGUCUCUCAUUCAUCUCCAUAAAUAAUAAUCAUCAUUCUAUUUCAAUAUAUCGAGCUGGAGGAUCAUCACAUGCUUCAGAUUUUGAACUGCCAGCACCAUCCUUAAUUUGGACAGGGGGCUAUUAUCAUCGAAUUUUAGCAACGGGAUAUUUCUUUUGCUAAUUUAACAACAGAAUGUGUAUAUAUGAUUUUUUUAAUAUCAACAAUGAAUUUAGUAAUAGAAAAUCCAUUGCUAAAAAGGAUUAAAAAAUUAAAUUAUUUAACUAAUUUGCAGCGGAUUUUUCAUUAUUGACGCUCUUGGCAACAUCAAAUCUGCAACUGAUUCCAAAAAUAAAUCAAACCCUUAAUUAUAUAAAAUCUGCAUCUUCAAAAAUUAAAAUAAAAUUAAAAUUCACCAUCUCUUUCUCUAGUCUCUUCCCUUCUCCAAAAAAUCAAAAUUCAAAAACUUUUUUUUUUAUCUUUUAUAUAUUAUUUAACUUUGAUUAAAUUGUUUUUAUUCCAUAUAAAGCAGAAGUUAAAAAAUGAUUUUGGAGUACAUGUAAGUCAUAUCUUUUUUGGAAUUUGCUUUGAUAAAAAACAGACAUAAAGAGAGAAGAUAAUAUAAAAUUCAUGACUCCUUAUCGAUAUAUAUAUAUUUUUUUUCCUUAGUUCAUUCGUUUGAUUACAUUUUUGCUUCAACUCUCAUCAACACUCCCUUGUUUCGUUGCACGGCAUCAUUUAAAUGUACAUGGCUUGUGUUAUGUUCGGGAACAAAUAUUGGGCCAUUAACCUUUUCAAGCAAUGAUGGAGUAGGAGUGCAGUUAAAGAACACGCCCUAGCUGUUUGACAGAAUGCCGAUGAAGAUGAUAGUCAUUUUAGUGGUGCUGCUUGUAACAACCCAGGUAAGAAAACUAACGACCUCUUGAUGUGGUUUUCUAGGAAAUAAAUUAAAUGUUUUUAUUUGUUCAUGUGUUUUCUUCAGGAGGUGGUGCUAACCAGAGAAAGCUAAAGCAGAGGAGGAUGGCCAACAUGUUGGAAAGGUAAAAGGAUGAAGCCUUUUGUUAGAGGUCUAGGUGCUGUUGCACUAACAAAAGCACAUUGCCUUGAGGAAGCCCUCAAGUCUUACAUCUCUUCACAUCUAUUCCCUAAAACACCUGAAAUCUCUUGACUACAAUGCCAGAAGAAGGGUUGCCCUCCUCCCUUUUUGCUCUUUUUAUUAACAAUUGUGAGAGGGAGAAAGGGUUAAAUGAUCUUUGUAUAUUUGACUGUCCAGAUCUGGAAUCACUAUGUGCACAUGAAAGACCUCUCAAUGAUCACAACUCUCUCGAUUAUUUGGAAAUCGAGGACUGCCGUAAAUUAGUUUCAUUUCCCAAAGGAGGGUUACCUGCUCCAGUCUUGAGAGGACUUCAUUUAGAAGGUUGCAGCAACCUGAAGCAGUUGCCUGAGAGUAUGCAUUCCCUCCUCCCAUCCCUUAACCGUUUGUAUAUAAGUAACUGCCCUUUGAUUGAGUCAACGCCAGAAGAAGGGUUGCCCUCCUCCCUUUCUUCUCUUGUAAUUAACAGUUGUCCUAUGCUGAAAUCUCUUCCAAGGCUUCAACACCUCAC